rnacentral:lncRNA from 1 species
UUCUGAGUUGCCUUGGGUGUGACUAUAAUGGAUUUUCUUCUCCAUUGCCUAAACCCUGUCAUGGUUGGAGCGUUUGCAAUACUCGUCCUCUCAUACCACCUGUUAUUAUGGAGGUCUGGAGCUGGUAAGAGCAGAAUGGCACCUGAAGCUUCUGGUGCAUGGCCCAUAAUAGGUCACCUGCACCUGUUAGGUGGAUCUAAGAAUUUGCCUCACUUACUUUUUGGAACCAUGGCCGACAAGUAUGGACCAGUAUUCAGCAUCCGGCUGGGAUUAAAAAGAGCUGUGGUUGUGAGUAGUUGGGAAAUGGCCAAAGAAUGCUUCACCACCCAUGACCUGGCUCUGGCCUCCCGUCCUCAGCUUGUGGCCGCCAAAUAUUUGGGAUAUAACUAUUCCAUGUUUGCUUUCUCUCCUCAUGGUGCAUACUGGCGUGAAGUGCGUAAGAUAGCCACUCUAGAGCUACUCUCGAACCGCCGGCUAGAGUUGCUGAAGAAUGUCCGAAUCUCAGAGGUGGAGACAUGCAUGAAGGAACUAUACAAGCUUUGGGCAGAGACGAAAAGCGAAGCAGGCGUUGUUUUGGUGGACAUGAAGCAAUGGUUUGGGCACUUGUCUCUGAACGUGAUUCUUAAGAUGGUUGUUGGAAAACGAUAUUUCGGUUAUGCAGCCGAAAGUAAAGAGAAAGGGGCCCAGCAGUGCCAGAAGGCGAUUAGGGAAUUCUUUCGUUUGAUGGGACUCUUUGUGGUGUCGGAUGCCCUUCCUUUUCUUGGAUGGCUUGACGUGGGUGGACAUGUGAAAGCCAUGAAGAAGACUGCAAAAGAAUUGGACGGUAUUGCUCAGGAAUGGUUAGAGGAACACCGACGGCGAAAAGAUUCGGGUGAAGCUGAUGGUGACCAGGACUUCAUGGACGUGAUGCUGUCCAUUCUGGGUGGUAGAGACACUACUGAUUAUGAUGCUGAUACCAUCAACAAAGCUACAGCCCUGGUAUGCACAUUAUUCCUUUAGCAUCUUUAUAUGGUAGUAAAAAAUGAGACAUAAUUUCACGCUUUAUCAUCUUUAGUCCAGACUCAAGAGUACUUGGGCCUGGGUUGGAAGAACUUCUUGUUUUUGCUUAGUUUCAAGUUGAAACUAAUCAAAAGCAGCGAUUUUUAAAAGGUAAUUAUAAUAGUGGUGUUAUAAAAGUUCAAACAUAAAAUAACUUUUUGCAUAAAUCAAAAUAGAGUUUAUAUAUAUAUAAUAUUUUUCUGAUCUUCAUAUUAAUUUUUUUAAGUCAUAACUUUUUUGAACAAAAUUAGUCAAACCAUAGAACUCUUGAACUUACAGAAAAGGCCUUUCGAUUUCUUAGAAAUAGAUACAUGUAGAGUUUUGUUAUAUGUUUGUUUUUGUCAAAAGAGUAACAUGAGCAGCUUAGACAAGCAAUUAGAAUGAAAUACAACUGGGCUGAGAAGCUGAUCGAGUACAACUAGAAUUAUGUACAACCUCUUGCUAGGAUAACUGGGUUGGACUAGUAAUGAUAGAGUUCUCCGUUGGAGUUAGGUGGCCCAAAAAGAUUGUGCUGUUUGAAUAGCUGGUCCUCUAAUUUAGGAAGAGGCAACCGAAUUUGCACCGCUGGGUGGCUGGGCCCAUAGAAAAUAUUAUUGUCAGAAGAUUAUGAAAGUAUGUUCCUUAGUCCGCAUGCUUUGAGGCCUCUUUGAGUGGGCUUCUAGGGCUGGUUAGACAAUUGGGCCUUUCAAAGGAUUUCCUAGAGUUACAUUUUUUUUAGCCCAACAUGAAUUUUUAUAAAAUGCUAUAUUUAUACGCGAGUUUCAUAUUGAAGCUAAACAUACCCAUUUUGAUCGGAAAAAAAAAGGAAAGAAAAUGGGGCCUUUUUUCCACCCUUAAUCCUAUCACUAUUUUUAAUUUUAUUUUAUUAGUUAAUGGUAUGUAUUUCACAGAUUCUGAUUGGAGGAGGCACUGACACUACAUCUGGUACUUUAACAUGGGCAAUCUCACUUUUAUUGAACAAUCCACACAUAUUAAGAAAAGCUCAAGAAGAAUUGGAUGCACAUGUUGGUAAAGAAAGAAUAGUAAAUGAAAUGGAUAUAAGCAAGUUGGUCUACCUUCAAGCAAUUGUUAAAGAGACAUUGAGGUUAAAUCCAACAGCCCCACUUUCAGGACCGCGUCAAUUCAUCCAAGAUUCUAUUUUAGGCGGUUACUAUAUCUCAAAAGGCACUCGUCUUAUAUUGAACCUCACCAAGAUCCAAAGAGACCCGAGAGUAUGGUUGAACCCAAUGGAGUUCCAACCAGAUAGAUUCCUCACCACCCACAAAGAUGUUGAUGUUAGAGGUAAACAUUUUGAGUUGACACCAUUUGGUGGUGGAAGAAGAAUUUGCCCUGGAGCAAUUUUUGCCCUUCAAGUGCUACACUUAACAUUAGCCAACUUCCUACAUAGAUUUCAACUUUCAACUCCAUCAGAUGCACCGGUUGAUAUGAGCGAGAGUUUUGGAUUAACAAACAUCAAAUCCACUCCACUUGAAGUUCUUAUCUCCCCACGCUUGGCUUCUUAUGAUCUUUAUGAGUAGAACUUGAGGUCGCUAAGAGACUUAUUUCAAAAAACCUAGUGCUAUGAAAUGUGAAAUAAAAAUAAAUUUCAUACAUGUAGCAUAAGUUUAGUAUUAUUUUAAAGCAGUUACUAAUGUGUGUCCUUUAGUAUUGUCUUAGCUUGAAUUUAAUAAAAAAAUAUUUUCGACAACUAUUUUGUGUGGACAAGUAAUGACCCAAUUUCUUGUUAUGUUUCUUCAUUCUUCCAUGAAAGAGAAUUUAGAAGAAAAAGUGGCAUAUAGCAUUACAAUUGAAAAAUUAAUAAGCAUGUACUCCACCAUAUGCAUAUAUAUGCAUAGUAGACUUAAUGAAUUUCCAAGUUGAUUAAUUGGUAUCUCCUUUUGAUAGAUUUCAGCCACCUUUUUGUACAUGAUUAAAGUAGUAAUGGAGACUAAAAUUACAACUCCCAUUUCAUUGUAAAAAGUUGGGAUGUGCAAGGUGGGUCAGUUCAAUUUUGGGCAUUAAAAUCGAAUCGAAUCGAAUUGAACCCAAAAGAGGAAAAUGAUUAGUUUGACUUGAUUAACAAUAAUCUAAGUUGGUUUAUUUUGCUUCUAUUUAUAACAUCAAUUUUUUUUUUAAUUUGAACGAAAAUAAUAUUAUUGAAGCAAGUCAUCUUUGGACGGUUGAAAUGAUAUUAUUACAACUAAUUUCAAAUCAUAUUAUUAUAACUUAAUGACAUGAAUAGGUAUUAUUGUAACCCAUGUCAAUCAUAUCAAAUAGUCCAAGUCAUAGAUAAAAGUUAUAAAGGUGUGAUUGGGAGUUCCAUCCAAUGUGAAAAAUGUAUACCAAAUUAAUAAUGUAACCAAUUGUUAUACUGUAUAUUAUUAUUGUGUGUGUAUAGCUUUCAAUUCAAUUCAGUUUGGUUCAUUAAUUUUUUUUUAUAGGUAAUUGAAUUGGUAUAACUUAGGUUUAUAUUUUUAAAAAUAAAAUCUUUAAAAAUUAAUAGAUUUGGGUCAAUUCCAUUGAUUUUGUCAAUCGUACACCCUAAAAGAAGGGAUGUCCACUUAUCAUCCAUAACUUUGUGUACUCCUAAGUUAGAAUUUUGCCCCAUGUGAUUCACAUUUGUACUUAUUAUUCUCAAAUUUUCGUACAAAUGAUUUAUUGUUUUGUGGAAUUUUACUCCAUGAGAUUCACAUUUGUACUUAUUAUUAUCAACUUUGUCUGCUCUUAAGUUACAAUUUCUCCUAAUUAGAUUCACAUGCGUUAUUGCCAUAAUUGACUUUCCACAUUUAUGCAUGAAUUAUUAUGUCAAUAGAUGCAUUAUCAUUUUGUCAAGUUAAUUUGACUUAGGUUAAUCACCAAAGACAAGGUGAAUUAAUUGACUCAAUUUUAAUAAAUUUUAAUUUAAAUGAGUGCAAGUAAUAAUAAUAAAACAGUAAAAAAAUACAUAAUUAAAUAAAUAAAAAGAAGAGAUAACUGGUACAAACUCCAAUUUAUAUUUUGCUCAAUCCUAUACUCUCCUCAAGCCCUCAAAUGCAAAUUGAGGGUUCCACUAGCUUUUAAGACUUCAAUCAAACCUUAAUCCUUUACACCUGGAUUCUCAAUUUCAAUGAUCUUUUUACACUUUAAUUCAAGAAAUUCCUCACUCUUGAACAUACUCAAAGGUAACACUUGAACAACAUUGAUCUCACAAAGUUUUAUUUACAGAUAAUAUAAAUGAAAACUUAAAUGGUUUUUUUUGGUUAGGAUUUCUAAAUUAAUAAGGAUUUUUACAUUAAAAAGAAAGAGUUAAGAUCAACUGGGUUUUGUAAGAUUUUGAUAUAUAUCUUAGUUUGCGAGUUUUUUGGGAUUAUAUUGUAAUCUUAUUGUUUUAUCCUAAAAUUGUCAAAAAAAGAAAUUAGUAAUUUAGUAUGGAAAUUUUACUCCAAAGAUUAUUGAUUAAAAAUUAUUUUACUAAUACCAACGUGUAAGAGUUAAAGGCAUAAAAUUGAAAUUAAAGUAAGUUUAUUAUUUUGGAUUUUGUUAAGUAAUGACAAGAUUAAUAAUUGAAAUUAAUGUAAAAAGAAGUGUAAAAACUUUAAAACUUUAAAAUAUCAUUUCAUUAUUAGUUUCCACUUGCCAACAUAGACUUCUCAUUCUAUUCUAACAAGUUUUUUGUACUUUUAUAUAUAUAUAUUUCAUAAACUUAACAAAGGAUACAAACAGCAAAAGAAAAAAAAAAUUGAGCUACUAAACCUCAAUAUAAAUUUGGGGUGAAUUGUCAAGGUCUAUUAAGGAGCAUGGGGAAGUACUGUAUCACAGAUCAAUGUGAAGAUGUAUAUAUAUUUAUAGUAUAGAACCUAAGAGAACGUUUCUUUCUAAGUUAGGUAAACAUUUCUGUCAAAGUUGAUGAAAUUUUACUAUAAUUUAUAUACACAUGCUUUCAGUGUGCAUAUAAAUUAUACGUGGAGAUGAUUUUUAACUUAUAUCUUGCUUUUUAUAUGUGAUUUAAUAUUGUUUUGGAUUAUUGAUUAUGACUUAUGAAUUAUCAUGCAUGGAACUAAUCAAAAUGAUAUAAUUAAAUUAUAUUAAUGAAUUUGAGAUAGACAUGGCAAUUAUUAAUUUAAAAUAUCUUAUAUGAACAUAAAAUUUUAAAUAUAGACUCAUAAUUUAUAUUAAAAUAAUAAAAUUAAAAAAGUACGUUUAUCUCAGAUUUAUGCCUAGGGCCCAAAUUUUGCUGAGAGACGGCCGGAUGUCAUCACAUGCAAGAAAGCUAGGAAACAAAGCUAAAGUUUGCUUCUUGUGUGGGAAGAGGUACUUCCGUGCUUGACUGAAAGAAAGGAUUUUCUACAAGAAAAAUUGUCCCCUUGUUUGUAAAGCCUCAAGUUGCGACAGCAAUAACGACAAAAGUAGGCCAAAGAAUUUGUCAUUAUUAUGAGACUAGAGAGGUUUUACUGAGAAGUUUUCCGAGCGUGAUAUCAGCAUUCGCUGUAUCACAGUGAUACAACAAAUGGUUUGAACACAGUGAUCUAGAACCCAUUAGCUCAAAUUUCAUUGAUCUGAACACGAUGAUCCUCAUCCGCAGACCAUUUUAGGGAAUAAUUAAUUCUAGCGAUUUUUUAACUGCAUGUACGAAGAACUUCAUCAAAAUUCGAUUAAGUGUAUCUUAACCAAUCUUGAUCAGUAUGCGACUGAUGAUUCUAUUUGAUAAAAGUAAUGCGGUGGCCCAACUUUAUCUUAAUUUCUAUGUUGAAAGUAAUCAUUAUAUUAUUCUAUAAUUAUAAAUGUAGACUAUGGAAUCAAGAUAACUUUGAUAUGCUGAGAUCAAAAGAGGGCGGCCACUUUAGUAGUGGACUAUAUAUACUAAAUAAAGCUGAUCGAUUAUUACAUUGGAAAAUAACAUUGAACCUAUCAUGAAAGACAACCCUACUGGACCAUGCCCCGAGUACUAAAUGCUGAUAAAAAACAAGUACAUGUUCCAAAGGAAUUGAGUCCAUAUAUACACAUUAGUGCUCAAAGAGAAAAACUAUAUAUCCACCGCUUAACUACAGUGAUCCUUUGAGCAGAAGUUAGCCAUGUAUUUCCUUUUCCAAUACCUAAACAUCACCACGGUCGGAGUCUUUGCCACACUUUUCCUUUCCUACUGUCUAUUAUUAUGGAGGUCUAGAGCUGGUAACAAAAAAAUAGCACCUGAAGCUACUGCUGCAUUGUCACGACCCAAAUUCCGGGUGACCCAUAAUUUGGCCCGUGACCCCAGGUCAAAGGUUUGACCCUAAGGGUUACUCCUAUUCCACGUUGGCAGUCAACUAAAACACUCUGAAAUUUUUUUUUUUCUCACAUAUAAGUCUCACUAGGUUCUCACCAACUAACAAUAUUUCAACCCUUACUCAAACACAUUAAGAUUUAAUAAAUAUCAUUGCAUUCCAAAAUAAAAUUUCAUAAAAAUCCCCUUAAUCGAAUUAAGGUCUUAUUACAUUAUCCAUAAUUCACUUAUUACAAGAUCUCAAUACCACAAACAUAAUAAAAAAAUAAAACACAUUCCACUAAACCGCUCCAAGGGCAUCCUGAAGUCCUCCCUGUCCCACCUGUGGAUCCUCAGGAGUGAUAUCUGCAUCUAAAAAUAUAUAUAUAAAAAAAAAGGGUGAGCAUUUCCACAUUGCUCAGUAGGGUGCCUAACACCCAAAGGGUUAAUGGGGGAUUACUAUAUUUCAAUAACCCAAACACAACAGUUUACCAAUAUAAAUCAAGUCACACAAUUUAACAUAUAAUAUUAUACUCAAUCCCACAACAUCCAAUCAUUACAUAUUAAAUUACCACCUACAUCUAUAAGUUCUUCAUCUUUUUAUAAAGGAGCUAUAGAAAUGUUAAAAAGUCGAAAGAAGACAACAAAUAGUUCUCCAAACAACACAACUGAUUUAGAUAGAUAUCUUAAUAUUGAUUUAAUUUCAUUUGAAGAUGAUGAAGAUUUUGAUAUUUUAAUAUGGUGGAAAUCACAACAACACAAAUAUCUUGUGCUUUCUAUCAUUGCUCGUGAUGUACUAACAGUUCCUGUGAGUACAGUUGCAUCAGAAGUUGCUUUUAGUGCAGGUGGAAGAGUAGUUAGUGAUAAACGAUGCAGCUUAGCGCCGGAUUCUAUUGAAGCAAAUAUAUGUCUGAAAGACUGGGCAAUAGCAGAUAAAAGGAUAUUUGAUUCUAUUCAAGAAGAAAAUAUGCUUGUCGAUAUGGAAAAACUAAAAUCAUCAGAUCUUCAUGGAUUUGCGAUAGUUAGCCAUCACCGCUAAGAGAUAAUGAUUAAAAUAUUUUACUAAAUGUAUGUCAUAUUUUUAUUUUUAUUUUUGUGGUUGAAAAGUACAAAUGAUUGACAAAUAAGUAGGUGCCAACCUAGUUGAGAUGUAUUUAUUUUGUAGUGAUGUAAACUUUUUCCACAUUUUCAAAUGUAAUGUAUAUAUUCAAUGAAUAAAAUAGUUAGCAAUGAAUAUUUUUAUUAAUGUAGCAUUUUCUAUUUUUUGAAUAUAUUUUUAUAUAUAUAUAUAUAUAUUUUUAAGUGGCGGGCCUACGGGUGGGCCCACGGCCGGGCCGGGCUUAAAUUGGGGCCCAUCCAAAAAUGGGCUCGGGUCGGGCUUUAGCCUACUGGGCCGGGCCGCGAGCUUUUUGGAGACCCUUAAUUUUUAUAAAUUACAGAAAAGAAAGAAAGAAAAAAAAAAAGAGAAAUCUACAUAUAGCUGCAUUUGUGUUUGUCAUGGAAAAUGAAAAAUAUUGCUAGAGUUUAUAAUGUAAAACAAAAUGCAAAUGUGAAACGCAAAGCAUAUAAGCUAUUUUAGGGUAAAAUCCAUGAAUGACCAAAUGGCCCAAAAAAAAGAUCAAAUUGGAAAUACGAUCGGUCAACGGUUGAAUCGAUUGGUGCAAUCCAAUUUUCAAAACCAUGAAAAUUUUAAUAUAUGACUUAAGCAUGUAAGUUUGAUAUAACAACGAGUAAAAAAUAAAUUAUAGAAUCCCUUUAGAUGAAAAAAGAUUUUAAUAAUUAUAAAUUUUUAUGAGAUGGAUAUGAUUUAUUAAGAUAAUUUUAAAAAAUAAUAAAUAAAAUUUAAUAUUAAAUUUUAUUUAUAAGAAUAAAAUAUCUUAAGAUAAUUAUGAGGGUAGGUAGAGGAUGCUAUUUUUAUGAGAAGCAUAAUAUGAUGCGUUUUGCAUUAAAAAGUCAAAUUCAUCCACACAUGUCCAUGUCUAUGAAACACAUUACACCGAACAUUAUUUUCAAAUUCGGACAUUAUUUUCAAACCCAACCUACGUAAGGCAUGUUUUUUUUUUUUUUUUUCUUUUUAAUUAUUAAAUUAGUUGUAUUUUGGUUCAAAACUCACGUGGGAAGAAGACUAGAGGGGGAACAUUUUUGUUGCGAAGCUAUACGGAAUAAAAUUUAUUCAGAAGCCGGUCAAAACUCAAAUUUAUCUGCGGAACUUUUGUACUUAUCUUUUGACAAUUGGAAUGCUUCCCUACAAAUUAACUAAAUUAAUAGUCUCCUUGUUUUAUCAGAAGCGAAGGAAAAAGUAGGACUCAUGCAUCGUACAACACAAAUAGGCAGAUCUUUAGUCAUAGAUGGUGCAUGCCGUAAAGUAGCCGUCUUGAGCUUGGUAAGAAACCAAGCUAUUAAAACUUGACUUGAACUGUUCAUUCUCAAGGGGGUAAGUGCCAGCCAGGGUUCAAAUUUUAUGAUGCGGGCAUGCAAGACUUAUACCAAUCUGCCGUUCUAAUAAUAGAAUGUAGAAGACACCAAGCACCUCCUGCAUGCAUCUUGAGGCGGUGUAGACACGCAUCCCAAGGCGAAGUUGUUCUCUACGACCUAAGGAUCAAUUUAGUAAUUGUUUUAAAAAAUAGUUUUUUGAGGUCAAUUUUUGAAAAUUAUUUUUAAAAUUUUUAAAAUAAAAAUAUGUUAGAAAACCUAAAAUAUAACAUGUUUUUAAAUUUUUUAAAUAUAUUUUAAAAAUAAUUUUUAUAUAUUUUUAAUUCUUAUAUUUAUAUAAUUAUUUUUUAAAACAACGGUUAGAAAACAAGUAAAAACAAAUAAAUUUUUUUUAAAAAAAAACAUUCUAUUUUAUGUUAUUAAUAACUUUUAAUUAUCAAAAGUUUUAUUUUAUAUUUUUUGUUUUAAAGAACAAAAAGCCUGCUCAAAAAAACAGUUGCCAUAACUUUUUUCUGAUCUGUAGUGAUCCUAGGAAGGCUGUUUUCUAAAUAUAGUAAUAUAAUAAAAAAAUGUGGUCAUAGUAAGAAAAUACCGUUUGGACAUGUCCAUGGUAUUAUGCAUAUGCUUGAACAGGGAAGCUACCCACAGUUUAACCACAGUAAUCCAAUAGCAACAUCUAAGCUACCAUGGAUUUCCUUCUCCAAUGCCUAAACCCUGCCAUGGUUGGAGCAUUUGCAAUACUUGUCCUCUCCUACUACCUGUUAUUAUGGCGGUCUGGAGCUGGUAAGGGCAGAAUGGCACCUGAAGCUGCUGGUGCAUGGCCCAUAAUAGGUCACCUACACCUCCUAGGUGGGUCUAAGAAUUUGCCCCACUUACUUUUGGGAACCAUGGCCGACAAGUAUGGAGCAGUAUUCAGCGUUCGGCUGGGAUUGGAAAGAGCUGUGGUGGUGAGUAGUUGGCAGAUGGCCAAGGAAUGCUUCACCACCCAUGACCUGGCUCUGGCCUCCCGUCCUCAACUUGUAAUCUCCAAACAAUUGGGAUAUAACGAUGCCAUGUUUGCUUUCUCUCCUCACGGUGCAUACUGGCGGGAAGUGCGAAAGAUAGCCACUCUAGAGCUCCUCUCGAACCGCCGGCUAGAGUUGCUGAAGAACGUCCGAAUCUCAGAGGUGGAGACAUGCAUGAAGGAACUAUACAAGCUUUGGGCUGAGAAGAAAAACGAGGCAGGCGUUGUUUUGGUGGACAUGAAGCAAUGGUUUGGGGACUUGACUCUGAACGUGAUUCUUAUGAUGGUUGCUGGAAAACGAUAUUUCGGUUAUACAGCCGAAAGUCAAGAGAAAGAGACCCAGCGGUGCCAGAAAUCGAUUAGGGAAUUCUUUCGUUUGUUGGGUCUCUUUGUGGUGUCGGAUGCCCUUCCUUUUCUUGGCUGGCUUGACGUGGGUGGACAUCUGAAAGCCACGAAGAAGACUGCAAAAGAAAUGGAUGGUAUUGCUCAGGAAUGGUUAGAGGAACACCGACAGCGAAAAGAUUCGGGUGAAGCUAAUGGUAACCAGGACUUAAUGGACGUGAUGCUGUCCAUUCUGGCUGGCACGGACCCUACCGGCUAUGAUGCCGAUACAAUCAACAAAGCCACAUCCCUGGUAUGCACAUUAUUCCUCGAGCACCUUUAUAUGCUACUAAAAAAAAUGACAUUCUUCUCAAGACAUAAUUUCAUGCUUUAUCCUCUUUAGUCGGGACUCUCAGACUCUCGAGAGUACUCACACCUUCAAUGGAAUAACUUUCUGUUGCUGGUUGAAGCUAGUCAAAGUCAAUACUUUUUAAAAGAUAAUAUUAGAUUUAUAAAAGUUUUAUCAAUUAUGAAAGAAUUUUUUGCAUCAGCGCAAAUAGAAUUUUUUUACUUAAAAAUAAAACGUUUUUGAUUUCAUAUUGUGUUUUAUUAUACGUUGUUAUUUGUCAAAAGAGUAACAUGAGAAGCUUCGACAAGCAAUUAUAAUGAAAUACAACCCACCUGAGAAUCUGAGCGUAACUAGAAUUAUGACGAACCUCUGGCUUGGGUGUUUGGGCUGGGCUGGUAAUGAUCCAACUCUCCUCUGGGUGGCUGGCCCAUUCUUGUCAGAAGAUCAUGAAAGUGUGUUCAUUAUUCCUCAUGCUUUGAGGCCUCAUUGACUGGGCUUCUUGAUCUUGAGUUGGUUAGACAAUUACGCCUUUCAAAGACUCCUCGUCAUAAUAAAUACAGGGGCUUUCCCUCGUAAAUUUAAGGAUUUUUAUAUUUUAUAUUUUAUUUUAAUUUUGAAGGCCAACAUGAACUUUUAUAAAAUGCUAAAUUUAUGAGCGAGUUUCAAAUUCAAGCUACUUUUGAUCGACGGACACUAAACUCUAACUCUAGAAGCAGACUCCUAUUGGUUUCUAAGGGGCACUCACUCUUGAAAAUAAAUAAAUAAAUAAAUUGAAGCCUUUUCCUCCUUAAUCCUGUUAGUAGUUAUAAUUUUAUUAACAUUAGUUAAUGUUUUGUACUUGACAGAUUUUGAUUGCAGGAGGCAGUGACACUACAUCUGUUACUCUAACAUGGGCGAUCUCACUUUUAUUGAAUAAUCCAUGUAUGUUAAGAAAAGCCCAAGAAGAAUUGGACACUCAUGUUGGUAAAGGGAGAUUGGUAAAUGAAGUGGAUUUAAGCAAGUUGGUCUACCUCCAAGCAAUUGUUAAAGAGACAUUGAGGUUAUAUCCCGCAUUUCCACUUUCAGGACCACGCCAAUUUAACCAAGAUUCCAUUUUAGGUGGUUACCGUAUCCCAAAAGGCACUCGUCUUGUGUUGAACCUCACUAAGAUCCAAAGAGACCCAAGUAUAUGGUUGAACCCAACAGAGUUUCAACCAGAAAGAUUCCUCACUACUCACAAAGACAUUGAUAUGAGGGUCAAAAAUUUUGAGUUUACACCAUUUGGUGGUGGAAGAAGAAUUUGCCCUGGUGCAACUUUUGCCCUUCAAGUGCUACACUUAACAUUAGCCAAUUUCUUGCACAAAUUUCAACUUUCGACUCCAUCAGAUGCAACAGUUGAUAUGAGCGAGAGCCUUGGGAUAACAAACAUCAAAUCCACUCCACUUGAAGUUCUCAUCUCGCCACGUUUGUCUUCUUGUGAUCUUUAUGAGUAAAACCAAUGAAUGUUGAGAGAGACUAUUUCAAGAAACCUAGUAUUAUAUAUAGGAAAUAAAAAUACAAAUAAAAUUUGUACAUGUGGUACAAGUUUAAAAUAAUAACUAAUGAGUACUAUACUUUUUUAAUUUUAUCUUAGCUUGAAUUUUGGUGUUUUUUUUUUCUCCUUGUAGAAGAAAAAGUGGCAUAUAGCAUUUUUCUUUCGGUAUAGAUAGUGAAAAAUAAGUAUGCACUUGACCAUAUGCAUACGUGUGCAAUAGACUUAAUGAGUUGCAAGUUGAUAAUUGAUCUGUCUUUUGGUAGAUUUUAGUUGCCUUCUUGUACAUCAUUAAAGUAGAAGAUAAAGACGAAAAUUAUAACUUCACCCAUUCAAUUAAAAAUCAAUUUAAUUGAAUUUAAAGAAGAAAAUGGUUGGUUCGGUUUGACUAACAAUAAUUGAUUCGUCGGUUUAUUUUGUUUCAAUUUGUUUUGGUUUGUUGUAACAAUAAAAAUCAUUUUUUUUGGUUAAUUUGGACUAAAAAAAAAAAACCAUGAUUAGAUAAAAACUAUAAAUGUGCAUAUGAAGUUGUAUCGAAUGUGAAAGCUUUUCAUCAAAUUAAUAAUAUAACCAAUACUCAUAUUAUUGAUGUAAAUAUAGAACUUCUAGAUAAGUUCAAUUUGUUUUACUAUUGAUUUUUUAAAUAGGUAACCGAAUUGGUCUAAUUCAAUUUUAUAUUUUAAAACCCAAUAUUAUUAAAAGAAAAAUUGCUAAAAAUUAGUGGAUUAGGGUUAGUUCAUUGAUUCUGUCUACACCCCAAAAAGAAGAGUGUCCACUUCGUAUUGUCAACUUUGUGUGCUUAUAAGUUACAAUUUUGCACCAUGAGAUUCACAUUUGUACUUAUUAUUGCUAAUUUUGUGUGGUCAUAAGUUAUAAUUUUACCCCACUAGAUUCACAUUUGCUAGCAUCAUAAUUGACUUUCUACAUCCAUGCAUUCAUGAAUCAUUACAUUUCAAUACUGUAUUACCAUUUUGGUGCUAAACAAGAAGACUCGUCUUUAAAGUACUCAAGCAAACCCUCACCAAUUUUAAUCAUUUUUCAAUUUAGAUGAAUGGGAGCAACAACACUAGAACAAUGAAGUAGAUGAUGAAAUAAAAUAAAAAACAAAGAUAGUAUACAAACUCUAAUUUUAUUGGUUUGUCAUAGUCUUGACUUAUAUGCACUCUCCUCAAACUUUAAAAUUCUGCUAACUUCUAAUCCUUCAAGCCAAUCUUAAACUCUUACAUUUUGAUUCUUGAUUCCAAAAGACCUUCUUACACUUGCCUCAAUAGAUUCUUUACUUUUGAAUACACUAGUCACAAGUUGUUAACAAUUGAACAAAAUUAAUCUUUCUAAAUCUUAAUUAGUACAAGUUUAAACUUGAGAAAAUACAAGAGGAAAUUAGGAUGUUUUGUCUUAGAUAAGAUUUAUAAGUUAAUCAAGAAUUUUACAUUGAGAACAAAGAGUUAAGAUCAAUUCAGUUAAGUGAGAUUGUAGGAUCUAAUUAGUUUGAGAUCUUAAGCGGUCCUGUUAUAAUCUUAUUAUUUUAUUCCAAAAUUGCCUAAGAGGGAAGUAGUAAUUUAGGACAACAAUUCCCUCCCAAAGUUUAUUGGUUUGAAACUAAUACUUUAUUAUACCAGCAUGUUUGAGUUGAAAACACAAAAAUUGAAGCUAAGGCAAGUACUUUACAAUUCGGAUUGGGUUGCAUCGAGCUUUGGUGGUAACUACUUGGGAGAUGGCUAAAGAAUGCUUGACCGCCAAUGACCAGGUUUCAUCCUCGCGUCCCGAACUUUUAGCCGCAAAACAUUUGGGCUACAACUACGCCAUGUUUGGUUUCUCUCCAUACGGUUCUUACUGGCGUGAAGUGCGCAAGAUAAUCAGCCUAGAGUUACUCUCUAACCGCUGCCUAGAGCUGCUGAAGGACGUCUGUGCUUCAGAAGUGGUGACAUCCAUAAAAGAGCUAUACAAGCUCUAGGCAGAGAAAAAAAAUGAAUCGGGCCUUGUCUCGGUGGAAAUGAAGUAGUGGUUUGGAGAUUUGACUCUGAACGUAAUUCUUAGGAUGGUGGCAGGGAAGCGUUAUUUCAGUGCUUCAGAUGCAAGUGAAAAUAAACAGGCGCAGAGGUGCUGGAGAGUGUUCAGGGAAUUUUUUCAUUUGGUAGGGCUCUUUGCGGUGGCGGACGCUAUUCCUUUUCUUGGAUGGCUCAACUGGGGGAGACAUGAGAAUACCCUAAAGAAGACAACAAUAGAAAUGGACAAUAUUGCUCAAGAAUGGUUAGAGGAGCACCGUUGGAAAUCAUGAUAAUAGUACGCAAGACUUCAUGGAUGUGAUGCUGUUAGUUCUUGAUGGCAAAAAUCUUGGUGAGUACGAAAGCCACAUGCUUGUGUGGACCCGCAUUUUUCACGUGCACCUCCACUCAAUCGGCGAGACUCGUUUUUUUUUGGUGAAGAUGUUGUUUUUGGAAAAGUCGGAGUCGCCACUUAUUUUAUUUUAUUUUAAAGGGAAAAUAAAACAAGAAAUAAAACCCUAAAAAAUGACUCCAUAGUUUUUUGGAAAAGCAUGUCUUUGAAAAACCCGAGUCUAGGUCCGGGGAUCAGGUUACUUAUUGGGAAGGUACCUCCAGGAGAUAGCACCUCUCUAAGCCCUACAAAGGUCCCUACUGACUAUGUUGAAGGAAAUGUGGCAAUCAACUGAUUAAUUGAGGGUACCUAGGUAGGCUAAGGUGAUCUCAAAACUAGCAUGCUAAACAAGAAAAACCAAUCACGCCCAUAAAGGAAAGUUAGGAUGCGUACCUGGACCACUUCUUAAGCGCUAUCAUAAAACAUCAAUGGUUAGUUUAGAUAAUAUAUCACUCAGUAUGUGUUUUAUCAUGAAUGAUCAAACAAUGUAGCAAAUAUCAAGACAUCCCAAGCAUUCUCAAACAUAGGUAUAAAUCAUAAUGACGAUCAUAUUUACAAAAUUUGGAAGGUAGGUGACAGGAGACGUACCUGGAUAGCAUAGAUAACUUGUAACGUGCUUUCACAAGACAUGAGAGGUUAGAUAACAAACAAUAAAAUAAGAAGUCCUAGCAUGUUUGUUAUCUAAUUAGCAUAGAAAAAAAAAAUUAUCAUAGUAUAUGAAACCAUCAAUUAUCACUUAUAUCUUCUGUAUAAUUUCUAAAAAAUAAAUAGACAUGAUUUCCUUAAAUAGCAAAGGGGGCAACAAAGAUGAGUUUUGAAAAUUUUCCUUAUGUAGGGGCUUCACCAAUUCCCCGAUUGAUAUACACAAAUCUAGUUUAGAAUUAUCCCAUUUGUUUGGGACCACAAGCUUGGAUUCAUGUCUUACUCAAAACUGUAAUUUUAUUUGAAAUUUAAGAAAGAUGCAAACAGAUCAAAACAUGGUUGCACAUUAUUUGAGAAAAUGAGAUUUCGAUUCUAAGAACUCUAAAUGAAUUUUUGAAAUGGAUUCCUAAAGGGAAUGAGAUUUUGAUUCUAAGAACUUUAAAUGAAUUUUUGAAAUGGAUUUUUAAAGGGAUUUUUUUUAGAAUAGUGUUAUGUUUUAAAAAUAAAAGAAAUUAAUUUCAAAACAAUAAAACGUAUGAAUCAAAUACCAAGCAAAACAAAAGAGAACAAAAUCACAAAGUAGAAUUUUUGACAACCAAGAAAAUUGAAGUGGUGAGAAUGGAAGCCAAUCUUCACUAUUUUUCGAUGGUCUCCAAAAAGUAAAUUUUACUAGAGACUACCAAAGCAAUAAACUAUUCAAACUUGGAUCAAAUAAGCUAACGAAAUACCCACCAAGAAUUAAUGACGAAAAUUCAAGAAACACAUCUACUAAGAAUAACAAUCAAGAAUUAGCAUGAGAUCAAUUAAACACACAAACGCAUCUAGAUUAACUAAAAUGAACCAAAUUAAAUCAAAGCAAACAAUAAUUUUCAAACAUAGAAUUAACUUUAUUAAUGAACUAAUAUUAUAUAAAAUACCUAAAUCGAAUAGAUGUGCAAAACUAAAUCAAAGUAAACUAAAGGCAUGAAUUCUCAAAAAUAGAAUUGAUUUUAUUAAUGACCUAAAAUUAUACAAACUCCUAAAAUAAUUAAAAUGAAUCAAUUUAAACGAAAGGAAACUAAAACAAAAUAUGAAUUCAGGGAAUCUAAUUUCGAAAUAAACUUACAUUAUUAAAAUGAAAUCUAGGCUUAAAAACUAUUAAACACUAAUUAAAGCCAAUCUAAACUUAAAUUCUUAACACACAUGAUCAAUUAUUUUAACAAACUAACAUUUUACCUUAACCACAAAUUAAAUUAAAAAACUACUUGAGACUAAAUUUCUAACCUAUAAAAUUAAACUCAUAAUCAAAUGGAUAAGUUGAUGACACAGACAAAUAAAUAUGAAUAAAAUAAAAUAUGAAUGAAAUGAAAUACGAACACAAGGAAUUAAAUAAUUUUUUCUUUUUUUUAAUAAACUUAUGUUAGUAAAAUAAAUUUGAGCUUAACAAACAUUUUUAUCACUAAUUAAGGCAAGUUUAAAAUAUAAUACUUAACACAUAAAAAAUCAAUCAUUUCAACAAACUAUAAUUUUAACUAAACUUAAAGUCAAUUCAAACAACCUUCAAUAGAUUUUUUUAUUUUUAUUUUAAACUGAAUUUUUAACCCAUAGAUUCAAUCUCAUUGAUAAAUAAAUAAAUAAAUAAGUUACAAAGCAUUAGCUUAGUAGCAAAUAAAUAAAUAAACAACUAAUAAUUAAAUGAAUCACAACUAAACUAAAUAAAGAUCAAACUAUAUUAUUUUUUUUAUUUUUCAAAAGUAGAAUUACAUGAAUUUGUAUUUUUUGAAUUUAAUAUAAUAUACCAAACUAAACUUAAACACAAUUCUCAUUCUGCCAUAUUAAAACAAAAAAUGCAUGGAGUUAGUAAAUAAAGUCAAAUGACACAAUAUAAUAAUAAUUCCACUAAAAAACCAAUCAAACUAAUUAAAAUUCUAAAAAAUAUCAACUAAAACAAGAUCAAUCAAAAUUAGCGUGUAUAUAUAUAUAUAUAUAUAUAUAUAUAUAUAUAUAUAUAUAUAUAUAUAUAUAUAUAUCUUUAUUUUUAGUUAUUUAUUUAUUAAAACACGAAUACAUCAACACGAAACGAAAUAAACUAACCAACUUACAUUCUAAAACUAAAAGGAUAAAUCAUGAAUUAAAAUUAACAACCUUUGGAUAUGAAAAGAGUGGCAUGGAAUCAAUUGAAAUAAUAAACUAAAAUUUAAUAACAUCUAAACUAAAAGAUAAAUUAAAACUAAAUUAAAUGAAAUUAUGAACUUCCUAAUUGAGAAAAAAAAUAAUAAUAGUAAUAAAUCUAAUCAAAAUUCUAAAUUUUAAACCAUCAUCAUGAAUUGCCCAAACUCUUAAAAAAUCCUAACCUUUCCAUUAUCAACAAAAAUUGCCUAAACCAAUAUUUAAAAAAUCUAAUUUGUCAAACUAAGAAUAAUAAAUUGUAACUACAUUAAACAAAAAUCAUAAUCUUCAAGCUAGAAUAAUGAAUCAAUAAUAAUUAAUUUAUUUAGAUAAGAAAAAUUAAAAAAAUAAAUUAAAGAUUAACAUCUAAGCUAAACAUGAAUUUACAAUAAAAAUUUAAAAUACAAAGAUUGAAUGGGAAUAAUUUUAAAACUAAUAAAUUGUCAUCAGGAAAUAUAUUGAUAUUAGAAAUAAUUAAACUAUAUAGAUAAAACUCUAAAACGAUUAUGCAUUGAAUUGAAUAUUUCUUGAAUCAAAAUUGAAAUAGGAAGGAUAAAUUCACAUUUUCCGAAACGUGUAGGUCACUUUCCACUAGUAGGAUUUCUAUUUUUUAUUUUAUUUUAAAAGAAUCAUUGCCAAGGAUGCAUGGUGUGGUGGCUGCCCAUGCACUGUAGCUGAAGACUUCUUCUUGGUGGUCUUUGAAACCUAGGAGCAUGGCUGAAUGUUUCCUUUCUUCCAAUAGUGCAACUGCUCCGGAAGUCCUCUCAACGGUGCGGCUGAUUCAGAAAUCGUCAUCUCAAUGGUGCGGCUGUUUCGGAAAUCUUCCUCUCAAUGGUGCGGCUACACCCUCUCACAUUCCAGAAAAUAAUCUUACUCCUCCCACCUGGAUCCCCUUUAGUGCGGCUGUUGAUCUCCUUCCCGUUUGGUGUCACCCUCUCUUCUGAUGCAUGCUGAAAGCGUCCCAAGAAUGGUGCAGCUGGUCGUUCUUGCUUCUCCAAAGGCGUCAGACCCUCUUAUGCGUGCUGAAAGCGUCCUAAGUAUGGUGCGGCUGGUCGUUCACCCCUCUCCAAAAAAAACUCUCCCCCCUCUCACUUUCUAACCUUCCUCUCCAGUACUCUGCCAACAUGGGAAGACAACUCACCAGCCCGGAGAGCCUCAAUCAUCCACGUCAGUCUAGCAUCAUCAGGACUCUCCUUCCUGAACAUAGUCUUCAUUCCGUCCAAAUACCCAUUGAACAUUUCCUUUUUCCAUGCCAAAAGAACUUUGGUAAUUUUCUUUCUUCAUUCAUUUCCUUCCAUUAGAAGCACAAUCAACACAUGCAUGGGUGCAUACUUGCUUUCCUUCUUAGUUCAUUUUCUUCCAUACGUCCUGUCCUCUUCCAACCACCUUGAAUCCAUCCUUUAACCCGCUGAAUAUUUCCUUUCCAUAAUCACACAUGAAAAUUCCUCUUUUUAAUUUUUUUUUUUGACUGAAUAUCCUCUAUUUCCUGAAAGACUCACACAUGAAUAUCCUUGCCAAUACACGUUUUCAACCUUCCUUUUUCUCUCCAGUGAUGAUUCCUUUGGUGAGUUUCUCUACAAAAAUAUAAAGAAAAUUAGACUUAAUGAAUGAAUCCCAAGGUGUUUUAGAAAAUUAUAAAAUAAAUUAACAAAAUAAUUAAGUAAAUAAUGAUAAUAAUAAUAAUAAUAAUAAUAAUAAUAAUAGUAAAGUGUCAUGCAAUCUAUGCAACCAUGCAAUCAUGUGAGCAACUCAAGUCAUGCAAAGAAUGUCUAAUGGGCCUCGGGUGUAUCUAAUGGACCUAAAGGGUCUAAGUGGACCAAUGAUGGUGCCUAAUGGGCCUAAGUGGGCCUAGGGUGGUGCCUAAUGGACCUAAAGGGUCUAAGUGGGCUUAGGGUGGUGCCCAAGUGUAUCUAAGUGAACCUAAAGUGCUUAAGUGGAUCUAAGUGAACCUAAAGUGUUUAAGUGGAUCUAAGUGAACCUAAAGUGCCUAAAUGGGCCUAAGUCUAAAUUAGGGCUACUAAGAGUCACAAUAGGGUUAAAUGAAUCCCUCUACCAAAGUCUCCGAGGUGGCUCAAAAAAGGUAAGUAGUAUGAGUAGCUAUGGGCCACUAAGGAACUACUGUGGAGCACUGGAAGUGAACUUAAAGACAUGUGCUAAAGGAACAAAAUUGAGGGUCUACAACCUGGUAUGAGUAUUAAUGGAACACCCACGUAACAUUGAUAAAGACAAAUUGCAAGGAUAAGGCAAUGAUCGAACAAAUAACCUAUGAUUAAACAAGAUCAUUCAAAAUCAAUUUUGUAUAUUUUUGUAACCGUUAUUUGAUGUGUUGACUUGAACAAUUCUGUAACUGUUGUAUAGUUGUAGGCAAAUUGAUGUACAUUGCCGCAAAUAGUUUUUCUUAGCUAUGCAUAUAAGUAAACUCUUAUUACAUCAAUAAAAGUGUGAAAAUUUUCAUUGAAAACAACAAUGUUAUUUCUUCUAUACUAUUUAUAUUUGCAUAGGGCUAGCUUCUUUUCCAUAGUUUUUCUUUUGUUUAUAUGUUUUAAUUGAUGCAUAUUCACUUUCUUAUUCUCUUAAUUAAAUUGCAAUAAUUAAAACUCUAAUUUAAAUAAAUUUUAAAAUUUAUUUUUAACUAAAAACAACAAUAUACAUAUACAAAUAUAUACUGCUUAAGUAAUUAAUUUUUUUAAAAAAUAUCCUUUGAGAACAUCUCAGACAAACUAAGACAUGCUUCUAGGGAAAUCUAAAUAUAAUGUUUUUAAAAGCUACCUUGUAAUUUUAUUUUCGAGCAUGUUGCAUUAUAUAUACUUUCCUUGAAUUGAUUUUCCAAAUUUUAUUUUUGUCAACAAUAAGGGUUAUCUACGUUUUGGAAGAUAUCUUUAAUUUCCCCUCCAAAGAAUAAGUGAUCUUGAAACUUAUAAGUUAAUUAUGUUCACUUGAUCGAAUAAGAGAUUUGAACAAUCUUGUAAAAAGAUGUUAAGCAGAUGGUUGAUUUCGAAAUUAUCCUUUAAACUAUAAAGGGAAAUAGAAAAAAAUACUAUUAUUUUGGUACAAGACCAUAUUGUUUAGUAGUGUCUCUAGGGAGUUCCAUUAGAUGCUAUCAAACAAUUAAUUUGGUGUCUCACUAACGUAAUUUUGAGUUGUUGAAUUUUGGGUUUUGCAAACUCUAAUUGCUGGAGGUAGUGACACAACUGUUGUCUCUCUAACCUGGGUAUUCUCUCUUUUACUCAACAACCGCGACACCUAAAAAAAAGCUAAAAAAAAAAAAUAUUCAAGUUGGCAAGGAAAGAUUAGUGAAUGAACAAGAUAUAAGUAAGUUGGUCUAUCUUCAAGCCAUUCUUAAAGAAAUUGAGAAAAUAAAGGCUAAUCUUAAAAGAUAAAAACACCCAAGAGGGGGGUGAAUUGAGUUUUUAAAAAUUAUUUUUAAACACAACAAAUUUAAGCAUAAGAGAAUCAAAUAUAAAAAGAUAAGGUUAGAGAAAUCAAACUCAGAUUUUAUAAUGGUUCAACACUUCCUUACCUACAUCCACUCUCCUCAAGCUCUUAACCGAGUGAGGGUUCCACUAACAUGAAGUUUCAACCAAACUUCUAAUUACAUUUACACUUAGAUUCCGGCUCCAAUGGGCUCUUACACAAUCUCUUCAAGUUUCAACUCACUUAAAGACUUUAACACUAAGUUAACAAGUAUGAAUCUCUCAACUUAGCUCAACAAUGACUCAAAUACAACCCAAAGCUAGGAUGAAUCACAAAGGUGCACUAAAGGAUAUGUAAAUGGAGAUUUAAUGCACCAAGAAAAGAAAUGAGAGCUUUUAAGGCAAGAACAAAUAGGUAAGCAAAUAAAUGCAUGUGUUCUCUUACUCAUAAAUGAAGUGGAACUCUUUAUUUAUAGGUUUUUAACAUUAUAAGCCAAAAAACCAAAAAAACAGUCUCAAUCGGUUGAGCUGAGGGUCAAUCGGUUCACUAGCCAUUGCAGCAUUUAAUGCUUGUCAGGUGACAGUUACCCUCGACCGGGAAGACAAAUCCCUCGACUGGGAAGGAAAGGCUACUGAAAAAGAGAGAGUCUUUUUUGCACCUCUCGGUCGGACCUCAACAGGAAAGGGGGAGCCGGUCGACCGGUACCCUAGUCAAUUGAGCCUGUUUGGACAUAGCCUUGAUCGGUUCACAAUUUUUUACCCGAAAACCUAUCUUUUUCUAGUAUUUUUGCUUCAAACACAUAGGUAAGGUCUUCAGAUAAAAUAUAUGCCAAUUUUGAAACGUUUAGCUUAAGGUUCAUUUGAUAGAUCUCGGAUUUUGGUGAAAAUGUAACUUUAAAGCAUAAAUCGAGUUUUUCAAAGAUGCAUGAAAUAAUAUGUAAAUCCUAAGUGUAUCAAUGCAUUCAUCUUACAUAUGUUUCCUAUCAUUAAAGGUCUUUCCAAAAGUCUUGAUCUUGCAUCCAUUAGGUCAUUUGAUGAAUUUCCAAAUUAACACCUGAAAUUUUUUAUAAUUUAAACCAAUUAGUAACUUAACUAUGAUUUGUUAUCAUCAAAACAUGAUUAGGAGAACCCUUGGGCUAACAGAGACAUUACGGUUAUAUCCACCAAGACCACUUGGAGGACUAUGCCAAUUUAUUGAGGAUUGCACCUUGGGUGGAUACCAUGUCUUUAAAGACACUUGUUUAAUAAUGAACCUUUCGAAGAUCCAAAAUAUCCAAGAAUCUAGUUAGAUUCGAUAGAAUUCUAACCAGAGAGGUUUCUCAUCAACCAUAAGAAUGUUGAUCCUUAGGGAAAACAUUUUGAAUUUAUACCAUUUGGAGCUGGUCAAAGAGCAUGUCUAGGAAUAGCUUUUGGUCUUCAAAUAUUAUAUUUAGCAUUAGCUAGUUUCUUACAUGCAUUUGACUUUUCAACUCCAUCAAAUGAACAUGUUGAUAUGCGAGAGAGCUUUGGACUUACAAAUAUGAAAUCUAUCCCACUCGAAGUUUUCAUUUCUCAAAUCUACCCCACUUGAAAUCCUCAUUUCUCUACACUUAUCUUCUUGUAGUCUUUACAACUAAAACAUUGAAAUGAAGAGGUCAAAGUUGACCCAGCUAGUCUUGGUUUAAAGACAUAUAGAGUUAGGUUCAAUCAAUCUAUGAUAAGAUUUGAGAUUUGUAUUAAAAGUAGGUUGGACUAAGAAUGAUGUACAAUAAACUAAAGUACUAUCCAUGCAAAUAAAGUAUAACAUUAUAUAUUAUUUGGUUAGCAUUCUGAAAUGUAACAUCAUAAUUAUUUCUUUGUUUUGUCUAAUUUAUCGCCAUUUCACCCCCUCAUCUUCAUCAAAACAAAUAAUAUAUAGUCUUUCUAUUUUUAAAAAUCAAAUUCGAUUCCCAAUUAUAUAAGAAUUUUACUAUUACUUUAUAAUAAACUUUACUUUAGUCUUAAUAACUUUGACUUGUAAAUAUGUUCUCCAUCCUUAAUUAAAUAUACAGAUAAUUUCAUUCAUUUUUUCUAAGAUUGGAGUUAAAUUUACCCAUCCAUACUUAACUUGAAAUUUUCUUAAAUAUCUGUUUUUUUUUCAUUUUUUUUACACGUAUAUCUUUUAAUUUAAAAUAAAAAAUAUUUAAUAAAAUUUCAAAAUAAUAGUUGUCAGACAUAUUUAUGUGACAUUUUCGAAGAGGUGAAUGAAACUAAACUUUUCUUUAAAUAUAAAAUCAUAAAAAUUUAAUAUAUGCAAGCAUGAUCCGGUCUAAAUAUGAUAUAUAAUUUGUGUCAUUUCAAAAAAUCACAGAAGAUCCUUUUGGCAAAGUGGCCCCCCAUUUGAGUUGUAUUCCGUAAUUGGUCACCACAUGUUAUAUCAUUUCAAAGAUUAUGGAGGAUCAUGUUGCCAAUCAUUAUCAGAAGAAGUACAGCUUCCUCUAUAAAACUAAUCAAUACGAUAUUUAGCACAUGCAAACAAAUUUGGAAGGAUCUGAAAGUCAAGUCUACGGGCCACCCCUUUACGACUUGUUCGAAAAAGCACAAAUCAAUGGUGGUGCCACUUGCCAGCAGUCUGUUUCAAUAUCUAAAUGUUACCUCGGUAAGAUUGCUUGACAUACUUUUUGUCUCCUACUAUCUCAUGGAGAUCCAGAGUUGGUAAGAUAAGAAUAGCAUCCGAAGCUGCUGGUGCAUGGCCAAUAAUCGGUCACCUCCUCUUAGGUGGGUCACAACUUCCUGGGAUUUUUUAUAAAAUUACGGUAGAUUUAAAAUUAAUUUUUUUAAAAUGCAGCAUAUUAAUGCUUGACAGCUGACAGUUACCCUCGAUCGGAAAGACAAAUCCCUCGACUGGGAAGGAAAGGCUACUGAAAAAGAGAGAGUGUUUUUUGCACCUCUCGGUCGGACAUCAACAGGGAAGGGGGAACCGGUCGAUCGGUACCCUAGUCAGUUGAGCCUGUUUGGACAGAACCUUGACCGGUUCACAAUUUUUUACCCGAAAACCUUUUUUUUUUUUGGUCUUUUUGCUUCAAACACUUAGACAAUGUCUUCAGAUAAAAUUAUAUACCAAUUUUGAAACGUUUUGCCUAAGGUUCAUUUCAUAGAUCUCGGAUUUUGAUGAAAAUGUAACUUUAAAGCAUAAAUCGAGUUUUUCAAAGAUGCAUGAAAUAAUAUGUAAAUCCUAAGUGCAUCAAUGCAUUUAUCUUACAUAUGUUUCCUAUCAUUAAAGGUCUUUCCAAAAGUCUUGAUCUUGCAUCCAUUAGGUCAUUUGAUGAAUUUCCAAAUUAACACCUGAAAUUUUUUAUAAUUUAAACCAAUUAGUAACUUAACUAUGGUUUGUUAUCAUCAAAACAUGAUUAGGAGAACCCUUGGGCUAACAGAGACAUUACGGUUAUAUCCACCAGGACCACUUGGAGGACUAUGCCAAUUUAUUGAGGAUUGCACCUUGGGUGGAUACCAUGUCUCUAAAGGCACCCGUUUAAUAAUGAACCUUUCGAAGAUCCAAAAGGAUCCAAGAAUCUAGUUAGAUUCGAUAGAAUUCCAACCAGAGAGGUUUCUCAUCAACCAUAAGAAUGUUGAUCCUUAGGGAAAACAUUUUGAAUUUAUACCAUUUGGAGCUGGUCAAAGAGCAUGUCCAGGAAUAGCUUUUGCUCUUCAAAUAUUAUAUUUAACAUUAGCUAGUUUCUUACAUGCAUUUGACUUUUCAACUCCAUCAAAUGAACAGGUUGAUAUGCGAGAGAGCCUUGAACUUAUAAAUAUGAAAUCUAUCCCACUUGAAGUUUUCAUUUCUCAAAUCUACCCCACUUGAAAUCCUCAUUUCUCUACACUUAUCUUCUUGUAGUCUUUACAACUAAAGCAUUGAAAUGAAGAGGUCAAAGUUGACCUAGCUAAUCUUGGUUUAAAGACAUAUGGAGUUAGGUUCAAUCAAUCUAUAAUAAGAUUUGGGAUUUGUAUUAAAAGUAGGUUGGACUAAGAAUGAUGUACAAUAAACUAAAGUACUAUCCAUGCAAAUAAAGUAUAACAUUAUAUAUUAUUUGGUUAGCCUUUUGGAAUGUAACAUCAUAAUUAUUUCUUUGUUUUGUCUAAUUUAUCGCCAUUUUUUCCCUUUCUCUUAUUCCCUCAUCUUCAUCAAAACAAAUAAUAUGUAGUUUUUCUAUUUUUAAAAAUCAAAUUCGAUUCCCAAUUAUAUAAGAAUUUUACUAUUACUUUAUAAUAAACUUUACUUUAGUCUUAAUAACUUUGACCUGUAAAUAUGUUCUCCAUCCUUAAUUAAAUAUACGGAUAAUUUCAUUCAUUUUUUCUAAGAUUGAAGUUAAAUUUACCCAUCCAUACUUAACUUGAAAUUUUCUUAAAUAUCUAUUUUUUUUCCUUUUUUUUACACAUAUAUCUUUUAAUUUAAAAUAAAAAAUAUUUAAUAAAAUUUCAAAAUAAUAGUUGUCAGAUAUAUUUAUGUGAAAUUUUCGAUGAGGUGGAUGAAACUAAACUUUUCUUUAAAUAUAAAAUCAUAAAAAUUUAAUAUAUGCAAGCAUGAUCCGGUCUAAAUAUGAUAUAUAAUUUGUGUCAUUUCAAAAAAUCAUAGAAGAUCCUUUUGGCAAAGUGGCCCCACCUUUGAGUUGUAUUCUGUAAUUGGUCACCACAUAUUAUAUAAUUUCAACGAUUAUGGAGGAUCAUGUUGCCAAUCAUUAUCAGAAGAAGUGCAGCUUCCUCUAUAAAACUAAUCAUAUUUAGCACACGCAAACAAAUUUGGAAGGAUCUGAAAGUCAAGUCUACGGGCCACCCCUUUACGGCUUGUUCGAAAAAGCACAAAUCGAUGGUGGUGCCACUUGCCAGCAGUCUGUUUCAAUAUCUAAAUGUUACCUCGGUGAGACUGCUUGACAUACUUUUUGUCUCCUACUAUCUCAUGGAGAUCCAGAGCUGGUAAGAUAAGAAUAGCAUCCGAAGCUGCUGGUGCAUGGCCAAUAACCGGUCACCUCCUCUUAGGUGGGUCACAACUUCCUGGGAUUUUUUAUAAAAUUACGGUAGAUUUAAAUUUAAUUUUUUUAAAAUGCAGCAUAUUAAAAAAUAUCUUUGAAUAAUAAUAAUAAAAUGACAAAUAAUAAAAAGGAAAGAAAGUUGUCUUGUGGCUAUAAGAAAGAAUAAUAUAAAAGAGAGAGAAGAGGAGAGGCGGAUAGAGAGAAGAGUAGCAGGAAAAAAAAAAAAGAGAACAGGGAGGUGCAUGCUGCAAAUCUUUGGGUGUUCGUAUGACGAGCAAAACGAGUUAUGUUUUGCGUGAAAAUUAAGGUGAAAAUUUUCUUUGACAUGAGGAACAUUCUUUCAAAGUUUGAUUUUAAUUUCAAUGAUUGGAUUUUUUGAUUUGUGGUGAGGUAGUUUAAUCCUAUAACUUUUGUUUAAUAUUUUUUCUUAAAAAAAUAUUAUGGAUUUUAUUACUGGGAGAUAAAUAUGUGUUAUUUGUGUUUUCUUUAUGUUAUUUGAAAUAUGAUUAUUGUUAGGGUGGAUUAUUAUGAUUUUUUUUUUUUUUUAUGUUUGCAAUGAUUUAAUUGAAGAAAAAUUAUUGUGUUGAUUGUUGGAAAUUAUUCAAUAUAUUAAGAAUAAAUAAAAUUUAUAUGAUUAUGGUUUAGACUAUGUUUUGAUGAUAUAUAAAUUAUUGUGAUUUUUUUUGUGGUUAUUUAAUUGAAGAAAAAUUGUUGUGAUGUAAUUGGAAUUAUUGAUUAUGUUUGGAGUAAAUAAAAAUUAUGUCCUAUAAAAUUAUGGAUGAUAACAUGUAAGUUUAUUAUAUUUCAUAUAUGGUUAUAUGAAAAAAAAUGAUGAAAGAUUUUAUGAAAUGGAAAAAGGAAAAAAAAAGAAAAAAAAAAUGAUGAUGAAAAGUAAAAGCCCGUAAAAGACGAAUUAAGAAAGAAAUGAGAUUUCUAGUAUGAAAACUACAAAAAUUUAUCUUAUGAAAACUCUAAAUGGGGAGUGUAUUUGGUACAGAUGCAUAUCAUUAAGUGAAAACCCAAAAACAAUAGUUUGUUACUUUACUGAAUGUAAACAUUUGCAUCAUGUUUUUAUUUGGAAGAAUGACAUGUAUUAAUUACUUGAAUGACGUCAAUGGUAUGUUUGGAUAUAUUAUUAGAGAUUGAAAUGAUUUAUUUAUUUUGUAAAUUUAGAAUUGUUUGAUAUGUUAUUUAUAUAAUUGAAUAAGAAAUGUGAUAAUUUUGAUUAGUUUAAUUUUAUAUGGUUGAUUUUUUAUUUAAUGACUAUAAUGCAUUGUUUUGAAAAUUGGAUCGGACCAACCGGUUCAAUCGCCAACUGGUGAUCUUUCCGGUUCCAUCCUCUCCUUUAAACCGCUAGAUGGUUGAACCGACCACAAACCACUAUUGGCAGUUGGACCGAUGAACCGCUUGGACCAGGUGGUUUUUCAUGAACUGCAUGGCUCAAUUCCAGCCCAGUCUUCCCCCCAUUUUUUCUUUCAUCCAAAUAGUCCAACCUUCCCCUCCUCUUUUUCAUAGGGUCCAAGUGAAAGCCCAAUAAGCCCAGCCUUACAUCUUAAUGGUCUUUAGGCAAAACCUAAACCCAUUUAAACCCCUCAAUGGGUUGUACCUUUGAACCCAUUAGUUACACAAAUAGCUUGAAUGAACUGUGUUUUACGCGCAUAUUCACAUCCACAUCCAUGUGGGAUUGCUGCUAUUUUAAGUCUAAAGAAAAAGCAACGCCACUUAGCUACAACACAAUUUGAUGCAAGUCUAGAAAAUAAAAAAAUCAGCAUGUGUUUCAAAAAAGAUUAAUAAUAUUAAAUAAAAUAAUAUAAUAUUUUCUGAAAUUAUAAAAUUAGUUAAAGUUAAAUAAUUAAAUUUUUACAUAUUCCAUUUAAUAAAGUUCAAAAUAUUAAUAUAUUUAUAUUUAUAUUUUGAUAAUAUCAAAGAUAAAAAAUAAAUAUUUUUAAUUUUUUAAUUUAUAUAAUAUUAUAUUUUGACAUAUAAUUGUUUUCUAUUGACUUAAAUUUUUUAAUUCAUUUGGGUGUAAAACACCUUACAAAACAAUGUGAAAAUGUUCACCCCUUUAUUUUUAUAAAAUUUUUAGAUACAAAUAUAGUUUAUAAGGAACCAUAAGAAAAUCAAGAAGUGUUCCAAAAAGCCUUAACAAAUAAAAGAAAAAUAAUAAUAAUAAUUUUUAAUUUAUAUUACCUUUUUGACAUGUACUAAUUUGAGUUAUAUGAAUUUUUGUAACUUAAAUUAUAUUUUGUUAUUUUGUAAAAUAUUUUUGGAAAUAUUUUUUACUUAGAUUUAUGUAGAUAUUUGGGUUAAUUUGGGAUUAAAUAUUGAUCUAUUCACUGUCAAAUUGGAUAGGAAUAAACUUUAAGGUCAACCCUUUGACCUGAUAUCACUAGUCGGAUUCUGAGUUGCCUUGGGUGUGACUAUAAUGGAUUUUCUUCUCCAAUGCCUAAACCCUGUCAUGGUUGGAGCGUUUGCAAUACUCGUCCUCUCAUACCACCUGUUAUUAUGGAGGUCUGGAGCUGGUAAGAGCAGAAUGGCACCUGAAGCUUCUGGUGCAUGGCCCAUAAUAGGCCACCUGCACCUGUUAGGUGGAUCUAAGAAUUUGCCUCACUUACUUUUUGGAACCAUGGCCGACAAGUAUGGACCAGUAUUCAGCAUCCGGCUGGGAUUAAAAAGAGCUGUGGUUGUGAGUAGUUGGGAAAUGGCCAAAGAAUGCUUCACCACCCAUGACCUGGCUCUGGCCUCCCGUCCUGAGCUUGUGGCCGCCAAAUAUUUGGGAUAUAACUAUGCCAUGUUUGGUUUAUCUCCUCACGGUGCAUACUGGCGUGAAGUGCGUAAGAUAGCCACUCUAGAGCUACUCUCGAACCGCCGGCUAGAGUUGCUGAAGAAUGUCCGAAUCUCAGAGGUGGAGACAUGCAUGAAGGAACUAUACGAGCUUUGGGCAAAGAAGAAAAGCGAAGCAGGCGUUGUUUUGGUGGACAUGAAGCAAUGGUUUGGGCACUUGUCUCUGAACGUGAUUCUUAAGAUGGUUGUUGGAAAACGAUAUUUCGGUUAUGCAGCCGAAAGUAAAGAGAAAGAGGCCCAGCAGUUCCAGAAGGCGAUUAGGGAAUUCUUUCGUUUGAUGGGACUCUUUGUGGUGUCGGAUGCCAUUCCUUUUCUUGGAUGGCUUGACGUGGGUGGACAUGUGAAAGCCAUGAAGAAGACUGCAAAAGAAUUGGACGGUAUUACUCAGGAAUGGUUAGAGGAACACCGACGGCGAAAAGAUUCGGGUGAAGCUGAUGGUGACCAGGACUUCAUGGACGUGAUGCUGUCCAUUCUGGGUGGUAGAGACACUACUGAUUAUGAUGCUGAUACCAUCAACAAAGCUACAUCCCUGGUAUGCACAUUAUUCCUUUAGCAUCUUUAUAUGGUAGUAAAAAAUGAGACAUAAUUUCAUGCUUUAUCAUCUUUAGUCCAGACUCAAGAGUACUUGGGCCUGGGUUGGAAGAACUUCUUAUUUUUGCUUAGUUUCAAGUUGAAACUAAUCAAAAGCAGCGAUUUUUAAAAGGUAAUUAUAAUAGUGGUGUUAUUAAAGGUCAAACAUAAAUAACUUUUUGCAUAAAUCAAAAUAGAGUUUAUAUAUAUAUAUAUAUAUAAAAUAUUUUUCUGAUCUUCAUAUUAAUUUUUCUAAGUCAUAACUUUUUUGAACAAAAUUAGUCAAACCAUAGAACUCUUGAACUUACAGAAAAGGGCUUUCGAUUUCUUAGAAAUAGAUACAUGAAGAGUUUUGUUAUAUGUUUGUUUUUGUCAAAAGAGUAACAUGAGCAGCUUAGACAAGCAAUUAGAAUGAAAUACAACUGGGCUGAGAAGCUGAGUAGAACUAGAAUUAUGUACAACCUCUUGCUAGGAUAAUUGGGUUGGACUUGUAAUGAUAGAGUUCUCCGUUGGAGUUAGGUGGCCCAAAAAGAUUGUGCUGUUUGAAUAGCUGGUCCUCUAAUUUAGGAAGAGGCAGCCGAAUUUGCAACGCUGGGUGGCUGGGCCCAUAGAAAAUAUUCUUGUCAGAAGAUUGUGAAAGUAUGUUCCUUAGUCCGCAAGGUUUGAGGCCUCUUUGAGUGGGCUUCUAGAGUCGGUUAGACAAUUGGGCCUUUCAAAGGAUUUCCUAAAUUUACAAUUUUUUUAGCCCAACAUGAAUUUUUAUAAAAUGCUAUAUUUAUACGUGAGUUUCAUAUUCAAGCUAAACAUACCCAUUUUGAUUGGAAAAAAAGGGAAAGAACAUGGGGCCUUUUUUCCACCCUUAAUCUUAUCACUACUUUUAAUUUUAUUUUAUUAGUUAAUGGUUUGUAUUUCACAGGUUAUGAUUGGAGGAGGCGCUGACACUACAUCUGGUACUUUAACAUGGGCAGUCUCACUUUUAUUGAACAAUCCACACAUAUUAAGAAAAGCUCAAGAAGAAUUGGAUGCUCAUGUUGGUAAAGAAAGACUAGUAAAUGAAAUGGAUAUAAGCAAGUUGGUUUACCUUCAAGCAAUUGUUAAAGAGACAUUGAGGUUAAAUCCAAUAGCCCCACUUUCAGGACCGCGUCAAUUCAUCCAAGAUUCUAUUUUAGGUGGUUACCAUAUCUCAAAAGGCACUCGUCUUAUAUUGAACCUUACCAAGAUUCAAAGAGACCCGAGAGUAUGGUUGAACCCAAUGGAGUUCCAACCAGAUAGAUUCCUCACCACCCACAAAGAUGUUGAUGUUAGAGGUAAACAUUUUGAGUUGACACCAUUUGGUGGUGGAAGAAGAAUUUGCCCUGGAAUAGUUUUUGCCCUUCAAGUGCUACACUUAACAUUAGCCAACUUCCUGCAUAGAUUUCAACUUUCAACUCCAUCAGAUGCACCGGUUGAUAUGAGCGAGGGUUUUGGAUUAACAAACAUCAAAUCCACUCCACUUGAAGUUCUUAUCUCCCCACGCUUAGCUUCUUAUGAUCUUUAUGAGUAGAAUUUGAGGUCGCUAAGAGACUUAUUUCAAAAAACCUAGUACUAUGAAAUGUGAAAUAAAAAUAAAUUUCAUAGCAUAAGUUUAGUAUUAUUUUAAAAUAGUUACUAAUGUCUGUCCUUUAAUAUUGUCUUAGCUUGAAUUUAAUGAAAAAUAUUUUCGACACUUAUUUUGUGUGGACAAGUAAUGACCCAAUUUCUUGUUAUGUUUCUUCAUUCUUCCAUGAAAGAGAAUUUAGAAGAAAAAGUGGCAUAUAGCAUUACAAUUGAAAAAUUAAUAAGCAUGUACUCCAUAUGCAUAGUAGACUUAAUGAGUUUCCAAGUUGAUUAAUUGGUAUCUCCUUUUGAUAGAUUUCAGCCACCUUUUUGUACAUGAUUAAAGUAGUAAUGGAGACUAAAAUUACAACUCCCAUUUCAUUGUAAAAAGUUGGGAUGUGCAAGGUGGGUCAGUUCAAUUUUGGGCAUUAAAAUCAAAUCGAAUUGAACCCAAAAGAGGAAAAUGAUUAGUUUGACUUGAUUAACAAUAAUCUAAGUUGGUUUAUUUUGCUUCUAUUUAUAACAUCAAUUUUUUUUUUUAAUUUGAACGAAAAUAAUAUUAUUGAAGCAAGUCAUCUUUGGACGGUUGAAAUGAUAUUAUUACAACUAAUUUCAAAUCAUAUUAUUAUAACUUAAUGAUGUGAAUAGGUAUUAUUGUAACCCAUGUCAAUCAUAUCAAAUAGUCCAAGUCAUAGAUAAAAGUUAUAAAGGUGUGAUUGGGAGUUCCAUCCAAUGUGAAAAAUGUAUACCCAAUUAAUGAUGUAACCAAUUGUUAUACUGUAUAUUAUUACUGUGUGUAUAACUUUCAAUUCAAUUCAGUUUGGUUCAUUAAUUUUUUUAAUAGGUAAUUGAAUUGGUAUAACUUGGUUUUAUAUUUAAAAAACCAAAUUUAUUAAAAAAUAAAAUCUUAAAAAAUUAAUAGAUUUGGGUCAAUUUCAUUGAUUUUGCCAAUUGUACACCCUAAAAGAAGGGAUGUCCACUUAUCAUCCAUAAACUUUGUGUACUCCUAAGUUACAAUUUUGCCCCAUGUGAUUCACAUUUGUACUUAUUAUACUCAAUUUUCCGUACAAAUGAUUUAUUAUUUUGCAGAAUUUUACUCCAUGAGAUUCACAUUUGUACUUAUUAUUACCAACUUUGUCUGCUCUUAAGUUACAAUUUCUCCUAAUUAGAUUCACAUGCGUUACUGCCAUAAUUGACUUUCCACAUUUAUGCAUGAAUUAUUAUGUCAAUAGAUGCAUUAUCAUUUUGUCAAGUUAAUCUGACUUAGGUUAAUCACCAAAGGCAAGGUGAAUUAAUUGACUCAAUUUUAAUAAAUUUUAAUUUAACUAAGUGCAAGUAAUAAUAAUAAAACAGUUAAAAAAUACAUAAUUAAAUAACUAAAAAGAAGAGAUAACAGGUACAAACUCCGAUUUAUAUUUUGCUCAAUCCCAUACUCUCCUCAAGCUCUCAAAUGCAAAUUGAGGGUUCCACUAGCUUUUAAGACUUCAAUCAAAUCUUAAUCCUUUACACUUGGAUUCUCAAUUUCAAUGAUCUUUUUACACUUUAAUUCAAGAAAUUCCUCACUCUUGAACAUACUCAAAGGUAACACUUGAACAACAUUGAUCUCACAAAAUUUUAUUUACAAAUAAUAUAAAUGAAAACUUAAAUGGUUUUUCUUGGCUAGGAUUUCUAAGUUAAUAAGGAUUUUUGCAUUAAAAAGAAAUAGUUAAAAUCAAUUGGGUUUUGUAAGAUUUUGAUAUAUAUCUUAGUUUGCGAGUUUUUUGGGAUUCUAUUAUAAUCUUAUUGUUUUAUCCUAAAAUUGUCAAAAAAAGAAAUCAGUAAUUUAGUAUGGCAAUUUUACUCCAAAGAUUAUUGAUUAAAAAUUAUUUUACUAAUACCAACGUGUAAGAGUUAAAGGCAUAAAAUUGAAAUUAAAGUAAGUUUAUUAUUUUGGAUUUGGUUAAGUAAUGACAAGAUUAAUAAUUGAAAUUAAUGUAAAAAGAAGUGUAAAAACUUUAAAAGUUUAAAAUAUCAUUUCAUUAUUAAUUAGUUUCCACUUGCCAACAUAGACUUCUCAUUCUAUUCAAACAAGUUUUUUGUACUUUUAUAUAUAUAUAUAUAUAUAUUUCAUAAACUUAACAAAGGAUACAAACAACAAAAGAAAAAAAAAAUUGAGCUACUAAACCUCAAUAUAAAUUUGGGGUGAAUUAUCAAGGUCUAUUAAGGAGCAUGGGGAAGUGUUGUAUCACAUAUCGAUGUGAAGAAGGUGUAUAUAUAUUUAUAGUAUAGGACCUAAGAUGUGAACGUUUCUUUUAAAGUUAGGUAAACAUUUCUUUCAAAAUUAAUGGAAUCUCACUAUGAUUUAUAUACACAUGCUUUCAGUGUCCAUAGAGGUUGAAAUAAUACGAUGAUUUUUAACUUAUAUCUUGCUUUUUAUAUGUGAUUUAAUAUUGUUUUGGAUUAUUGAUUAUGACUCAUGAAUUAUCAUGCAUGGAACUAAUCAAAAUGAUAUAAUUAAAUUAUAUUAAUGAAUUUGAGAUAGACAUGACAAUUAUUAAUUUAAAAUAUCUUAUAUGAACAUAAAAUUUUAAAUAUAGACUCAUAAUUUAUAUAUAUUAAUAUAAUAAAGUUGAAAAACUACGUUUAUCUCAAAUUUAUGCCUAGGGCCCAAAUUUUGCUGAGAGCCAGCCGGAUGUCAUCACAUGCAAGAAAGCUAGGAAACAAAGCUAAAGUUUGCUUCUUGUGUGGGAAGAGGUACUUCCGUGCUUGACUGAAAGAAAGGAUUUUCUACAAGAAAAAUUGUCCCCUUGUUUGUAAAGCCUCAAGUUGCGACAGCAAUAACGACAAAAGUAGGCCAAAGAAUUUGUCAUUAUUAUGAGACUAGAGAGGUUUUACUGAGAAGUUUUCCGAGCGUGAUAUCAGCAUUCGCUGUAUCACAGUGAUACAACAAAUGGUUUGAACACAGUGAUCUAGAACCCAUUAGCUCAAAUUUCAUUGAUCUGAACACGAUGAUCCUCAUCCGCAGACCAUUUUAGGGAAUGAUUAAUUCGAGCGAUUUUUUAACUGCCUGUACGAAGAACUUUAUCAAAAUUGGAUUCAGUGUAUCUUAACCAAUCUUGAUCAGUAUGCGACUGAUGAUUCUAUUUGAUAAAAGUAAUGCGGUGGCCCAACUUUAUCUUAAUUUCUAUGUUGAAAGUAACCAUAUAUUAUUCUAUAAUUAUAAAUAUAUACUGUGGAAUCAAGAUAACUUUGAUAUGCUAAGGAUCAAAAGAGGGCAGCCACUUUAGUAGUGGAUUAUACUAAAUAAAGCUGAUCGAUUAUUACAUUGGAAAAUAACAUUGAACCUAUCAUGAAAGACAACCCUACUGGACCAUGCCCCGAGUACUAAAUGCUGAUAAAAAACAAGUACAUGUUCCAAAGGAAUUGAGUCCAUAUAUACACAUUAGUGCUCAAAGAGAAAAACUAUAUAUCCACCGCUUAACUACAGUGAUCCUUUGAGCAGAAGAAGCUAGCCAUGUAUUUCCUUCUCCAAUACCUAAACAUCACCACGGUCGGAGUCUUUGCCACACUUUUCCUUUCCUACUGUCUAUUAUUAUGGAGGUCUAGAGCUGGUAACAAAAAAAUAGCACCUGAAGCUGCUGCUGCAUGGCCCAUAAUCGGUCACCUACACCUGUUAGCUGGUGGUUCUCAUCAGCUUCCCCACAUAACCUUGGGAAACAUGGCCGACAAAUAUGGACCGGUCUUCACAAUUCGGAUUGGGUUGCAUCGAGCUUUGGUGGUAAGUUCUUGGGAGAUGGCUAAAGAAUGCUCGACCGCCAAUGACCAGGUUUCAUCCUCGCGUCCCGAACUUUUAGCCUCAAAACAUUUGGGCUACAACUACGCCAUGUUUGGUUUCUCUCCAUACGGUUCUUACUGGCGUGAAAUGCGCAAGAUAAUCAGCCUAGAGCUACUCUCUAACAGCCGCUUAGAGCUGCUGAAGGACGUCCGAGCUUCAGAAGUGGUGACAUCCAUAAAAGAGCUAUACAAGCUCUGGGCAGAGAAAAAAAAUGAAUCGGGCCUUGUCUCUGUGGAGAUGAAGCAGUGGUUUGGAGACUUGACUCUGAACGUAAUUCUUAGGAUGGUGGCAGGGAAGCGUUAUUUCAGUGCUUCAGAUGCAAGUGAAAAUAAACAGGCGCAGAGGUGCCGGAGAGUGUUCAGGGAAUUCUUUCAUUUGUCAGGGCUCUUUGCGGUGGCGGACGCUAUUCCAUUUCUUGGAUGGCUCGACUGGGGGAGACAUGAGAAAACCCUAAAGAAGACAGCAAUAGAAAUGGACAGUAUUGCUCAAGAAUGGUUAGAGGAGCACCGUCGGAGGAAAGACUCCGGUGAUGAUAAUAGUACGCAAGACUUCAUGGAUGUGAUGCAGUCAGUUCUUGAUGGCAAAAACCUUGGUGGUUACGACGCUGAUACCAUCAAUAAAGCCACAUGCAUGCCUGGUAUGAGUUAUUAAUGAAGCACCCACGUACCAUUUAUAUUUGCAUAUUAUCAGGGCUAGCUUCUUUUCCACAGACAGUUUUUCUUUUGUUUAUAUGUUUUAAUUGAUGCAUAUUCACUUUCUUCUUCUCUUAAUUAAAUUGCAAUAAUUAAACAUACAAUUUAAAUAAAUUUUAAAUUUUAUUUUUAACUAAAAACAAAAGUAUACAUAUACAAAUAUAUAUUGCUUAAGCAAUUAAUUUUUAAAAAUUAUUCUUUCAGAACACCUUAGACAAGUUGAGACAUGCUUCGAGGGAAAUCUAAAUAUAAUGAUUUUAAAAGCUACUUUGUAAUUUUAUUUUCGAGCAUGUUGCAUAAUAUAUGCUUUCCUUGAAUUGAUUUUCUAAAUUUUAUUUUUGUCAGCAAGAAAGGGUUAUCUACGUUUUGGAAGUUAUCUUUAAUUUCCCCUGCAAAGAAUAAGUGUGUGGACCCUGCAUUUCGGCUCAAUGCGUUUCCCACUCGAUGGCGAGCUCGAUUUUUAUUUGAAAAAUGAUUUUUAUUGAUUAUUUAGAAAAUGACUUGGAGUCGCCACUUAUUUUUGUUUUAUUUUUAAAGGGUAAACAAAAUAAGAAAGAAAAACCCUAAGUGUGACUCCUUAUUUUGGAAAAGGUGGUCUGUGAAAAACUGAAUCGGGUUCAGGGGUCAGGUUACUUAUUGGGAAGGUACGGUAUGGACCGUAGCACCCCUCUAAGUCCCUAAAGUCGGGUCUCUACUAAUGAGAUGAAGCUGACAUGGCAAUCAAUGAGAAAAUCAAUGAAUACUCGAAUCAAUCAUGCACAUAUGAGAGACAAAGCAUGUAUAAAGAAUGAGCAAAAUAUGAAUAGAUGCGUACCUGGGCGACAAUCACGAAUGCGCUAUCAUGAAACAUGGUUAGUGAACAAUAAACAUAUAUAAUUAAGCGCAUAUCAAGGAAUAGAGUAAAUCAAUCAUGCAUGACAAAUAAAUCAAUCAAUCAUGGAAUCUCAUAUGUAGGGCCCCCACCAAAACCCAAUUCAUUUUUGCAUGAAUCAAUUCCAUAAAUUCCAUCACUUGGAAUUACGGAAUUUAAUUCUUACUUAUUUUUAAAACAUUUUAAAAACCAAGAAAAUGCACAAGUGGCUUGCCGGAAGGAAAAUGGCAACCAAAUUUUAUUGAAAAUGGGAUUUAAGAAGAUUAUUUUCAAGAAAACAGGGGAUGAGAGAAUAGAAGGAAAUGGCACAUGGUCAAGAGCUGCAUGCCUAAGGUGGCCAUGCAAAAACACUUCCCUCUAAGCUCAGGGUGGAGGGACUGCACUAUAAGGAUCAGUGGUGCUGCAGAGCUUGUCAGAACAGCUGAUGGCAUCAUAGGUGUUGCUCCUGAUUGCCUGAAAGAAUUCAUCUCUAAUGGACGGAAUCGAUUGCUCUACAUGAUUAUUCCAGAAGGUAAUGGUUGAGUCCUUAGCUUCACGAACCCAAUUUUUUAUGUCAUUACUUCCCAUCAAACUACCAUGACAUAGGAGCCACACUGAGCAAACUGAUGAGCCCGCUGCCCCACAUGUAUAGGGAAUCCAGUACAAAGUUAAUUUCCGCGGUUUACGAUGUUCGGAAACAAGGAUACUUAGGUAAGAAUCCAGCUUAUACAUGAUAAAUCACGNNNNNNNNNNNNNNNNNNNNNNNNNNNNNNNNNNNNNNNNNNNNNNNNNNNNNNNNNNNNNNNNNNNNNNNNNNNNNNNNNNNNNNNNNNNNNNNNNNNNGUGGAUGCCGCCUAUGAUACUAGCCUCAGAAAUCAUGCCAUUGACAUCGUUGUGCUUGUUACUAUUGCCAUCUCUAUCUCACAUGUGAGAGCCCUUGAUGGAAUCAAUUAAAAUAAUCCUUGAUAGAAACGUGGACUUCAUGUCUCAAAUCUGGCCUUUCAUAUCUCCUCAUUUGUCCAUGUCAACUAUUGUCACCAAGCCAUAAGCCUCUUGAUCCCAUGAUAACCCCAUUAUUCAACCCAAUACUUCAAUGAUGAUUCUCUUUCAUUUGCAUUCCUGACCUUCUCUUAUCUCCAUUACUGAUCCCAUGGAUGUUUACAGGAUUGAGUAUUUGGACGAGAGCAAACUUUGAUUAGAACCCUGUAUCAUGUUGAGUCUCUGCCAGCCUGGAAGGAUAAAAAUCACGUUGCCCCAUAUGGUGAGUUUUACUUUGAUUUACUCUUCCUCCUUGAUUCGUAUAAUGCAAGAAGGACAGGAGUUAAAAUGUCACGGAUAGCAUGAUGGCAAUGCCCAAAAGUAGCGUCAGUGUACAUUUGAGUCAAACGCGACUCCAUAUCAAACAUUGGCGGCCAGCGUCCAAGUCAAAGGGACGUAGUGCCCAUAAUUCACUGUUGAUAUUCUUCUUUCUGGGGAUGGAACAGAUCCAACUUCAAGGAUUGGGUGAGUCUCCUAAGAACUUUUCAUAAGGAUGGAUGACUGCCCAACAAUGCACUCAGGUUCCAUCAUUGCAAAGCCUCAACAGACUGCAUGCACCAUUCGUCGCGUACCUCACGACAAAUGUGAGUCUGGUUAAUCCCGUAGGAGGACUCCAAGCAGCAUGCAUAACGUACCUCUUCGGAAUAUCACAACGAGACCCACUGGUGCCCUCGUCUGAAUACCCCUCCGCCUCUCAUUCAAGUAAUGGGUGUUGGACCCAUGUAUGCAUGCAAAGAUGGAGGAGUGAAGUGGUGAGAGAAAGGAUGUAUGGAUUUAGCUGCGAGUAAGGUCACGGGUAUGGGAGGAUGGAUGCGGUGAAGACCUUUGAGGGUGAUGAAAAAUGGUGCAUGGAGUAAGAUAGGCUAAAGUGGAAAUGCGUGGUAGAAUGGGCAUAGGAGUAUCAUGAGAGAAGUGUGCAGGGACUACAUGCAUGUGGGUGGCUAGGGAAGUAAAAGAUGGGUUCAACAGUGAAACGUAUGGGAAUGAUGAGAGGGAAAGCGGAUUAGCAGAUGGGGUUAAUGAGUGAUAUGAAGAAUGGGGUAUGAGACCUGGGUAUAAGGUGAAAUGAAUAUGACAUGGUUAUGCAUGGCCAUGCCAUGGCCAUGCAAGAACAUGAUGGAAAGGGAGUGACGGAUGUAUGAAUAAUGGAGAGCAUGAGGAGGUAUGGGAUAGAUGAACAGGGCUGGAUGGUGGAUGAUGAAUAAGUAAUGGUGAAAUGGGUAUGAAAGAGUUUGAAGAGAGAGAAAAGGUGGUAAUGUGGAAUGGGUUUGAUAGGUGGGAGUACAAAGUGGGUAUGAAGAUGGGUAUGAAUGGUUUAGUAGGUACGAGACAAAUGGGUUAGAUGGAGGGUAUAAUGGGUGAUGUAAUGAUGGAAACCCGGGCGUUUAUUCAUCUUUGGAGGCACGAUACCCGGGUCAUGAACAGAUGGAUCACACUUCUUGGCCAGCUGCAUUCAGGCCAUAGUCAAUACAACCGACUUCGCUACCUCCAUUUCCAGGCACAGUGAUUGACACAAAGGAAGGUAACUUCCCAAUAAUCAAGCUUCUUUCGAUACAAGGUCUGCAUGGCUUAGCCGAGUUCAGUUUAGUUGGGUGUCGAAUCCCAUUGGUCAGUAGACCCAUUUGGAGCGAAACUGAACCCUUUAAUCCAAAUGGACCGUUACAGAGAGCACAAAGCAGCAGUAGGAUUAGCAAGACCCAGAGCAUAAGAGCGGGCUGUGACCAUGGCAGAGAUUCCAAAUUAGAAAGCAAGCACAAAACCAUCCAUGGAAGAGGUUAUCCAAGGUUUUGGAUGCUUAUGAAGUUUUCCCGCAAGUUGAACGAAUCUGUAACAGAGUGCCUUCUGAUCUAACCUGCAUAGUUUCAACAUGUACCACACCAUCCCCAUUCACGGUACCUCCAAUCACUAUGUCACCCUUCUUUCUUCGCCAUAGGCCUAGCAUCCUCUGUGAGCAUGUUCUUGAACCCACAAUCUCCCGCUUUACCUCAUGGAAACAUGUCAACCAAAAUAGCCCACCCAUCAAGUGACUGAUUCAACUCUGAUACCCGACAUCUCAGAUGCACCAACAACAGAAGCACAAAAGGGUAGGAAAUGGGGCCAAAACAGAAAAGAACGAAGGAAGGAUAAACGAGGAAUAAAGUAAAACAUAAGUGUAUAGAGCCUCAUUUCAGGUGACAUCCAUGGGCUUAUACAAGUGAGGAGAUCUCAAGUUAGAGUUACAGAAUAUAUGAGGAACCGAGUUCUAUUAACUCCAAGCCAAACCACAAGAACAGCAGUAAAAUCAACAACAAUAGAGUAUAAAAACGAUCCAGAAAUCAACAAAAUUCAGUACGUAUGACCCAACUCAAAUUGAUGAGCAAUGCAGAGCAAACCAAAAUGAGAAAAGGGUGAGAAAAAUAUGAAUCAAAGUAAGCAAGAAACUCACCUCAAACUCACCUGCAGACGCUCCUCUCUCUAUUCCUUCAUUCUCUAAGCUUCAGCUAGCCAAAAACAACGCCCAGAAUCUCCGUCACACAGCCACCCAAAACCUCCUCCUCUGCAGCCUCGAACCUCUCUGCCAACAAACAGCAACCAAAAGCACCUCCCCCUCUCGGAAACUUCUUUCUCCCUAAAAAAAAACUCUCAGACCAGCCUCUCUAAAGCUCCCCCUCUCUCAAGUUCACCGUCCAAAAUUACUCCUCUCAUGGAAAAACUCCCUGGAAUCCCCUCAGCAGCCCCGGUACCUCCAGCUAAAAGAAAAUCACCCCCCCCGGUUCUCAUGUCUCUCUCACCUUUUUUUCUCUCUAGCCAAAACCAGCUUUCUUUUCCUCCCUUUGGAAAUAUCUCCCUAACGGCCAGACGACACCCACCUGCCUUGCAGCUGCAAGCCUCCACUCCCCCCUAUGCAGCUGGCAGCCUCCCAAAAUCAACCCAACAAAAGCUCUUCCCCUAAAGAUUUCUGCCACCUUCCUCUUCUAGGCAAUAUCUCUUUUCUGUCCCGGAUUUGCCCCUCCAACAAUCCCUGUAGCCACCUCCAGCACCACUACACUCUGCAUGCAACUGGCAACACCUCCUAACGGAAAGCACGCUCCCUUCUUCUAGAAUGUUCUUCACUUUCCAGGUGUCUUCCUCUUAUUAGUCCAUCAAUUCCACCAUAGUGAUUCCACUAGUAGCCAACCCGAGAGUGACACGUGGCCAUGCGAGAUGGUGACACUUGUCCAGCAUCAGCUGCAAGAAUGACUCCCAAAAUGGGGGUCUACAACUAUGCCCAUUUUCGGUAGAGUUCACAAGUGUAAGGAAAAUGAACACUGGAAUGAAAGGUAGGUGUGAAUAGUGAGUGGAAUGAAGUGAACUCUACCGAAGAACCAAGGAGACCCCCAUAGGGACACUAGCAAAACACGAAUUCGCUCAGGCUGACAGACUGACACAAAGGCUCUGAUCCUAAAACAAAAUGAUGUCUCAAAAUGCCUCUGAGGCCAUACUAAGGAUCCAAGCUCCCUUUAACAUGCCUCCAAAAGUGACCCGAAGAUCGAUGUCAAAAGUGAGUAACGGUCGAACCACCCUGGAGUACGAACAAGAAUGCGUCUAAAGGAGACUGCCCUAUGUGGACUAUGAGAUGAAUAGGUGAUAAGCACAGGGUAACGAGGUGAGAAGAGUGAGAAUAAGUGCAAAUCCAUGAAGGUGAGAUGCGCAAUGCCAGUGAAUAUGAACGCUAGGGGCUGCGACUCUGAAUGACGAGACUGACCCUAAACGCUAAACUGAGAAAAACAAUGGCUCUGGAAGCCAGACCAAAAACUAACUCUAAAAACUAAACUAGAAUAACAGCUCUGGAAGUCAACCAAAAACUAACUCUAAAAGCUAAACUAGAAAACAACAGCUCUGGAAGCCAACCAAAAACUAACUCUAAAAACUAAACUAGAAAAUAACAGCUCUGGAAGCCAACCAAAAACUAACCCUAAAAGCUAAACUAGAAAACAAACAGCUCUGGAAGCCAACCAAAAACUAACUCUAAACUAGAAAAUAAUAGCUCUGGAAGCCAAACUGAAAACUAACUCUAAAAGCUAAACUAGAAAACAACAGCUCUGGAAGCCAAACCAAAAACUAACUCUAAAAACUAAACUAGAAAAUAACAGCUCUGGAAGCCAACCAAAAACUAACCCUAAAAGCUAAACUAGAAAGUAACAAACAGCUCUGGAAGCCAACCAAAAAACUAACUCUAAAAACUAAACUAGAAAAUAACAGCUCUGGAAGCCUAAACAAGUCGACAGUAACGACUCUGGAAGCCUAAACAAGAUGAUAGUAAUGGCUUUGGAAGCCUAAACAAGAUGACGGUAACGACUCUGGAAGCCUAAACAAGAUGAUAGUAAUGGCUCUGGAAGCCUAAAUAAGAUGACGGUAAUGGCUCGGAAGCCUAAACAAGAUGACAGUAACGACUCUGGAAGCCUAAACAAGAUGAUAGUAAUGGCUCUGGAAGCAUAAACAAGAUGACAGUAAUGACUCUGGAAGCAUAAACAAGAUGACAGUAAUGGCUCUGGAAGCAUAAACAAGAUGACAGUAACGACUCUGGAAGCCUAAACAAGAUGAUAGUAAUGGCUCUAGAAGCCUAAACAAGAUGAUAGUAAUGACUCUAGAAGCCUAAACAAGAUGAUAGUAACGACUCUGGACGUCGAAACUAAAAAGUGAUGAUGAUGACUCUGAACGUCAAACUGAGAAGUGAUAACGACUCUGAACGCCAAAACCGAGGAUGCGACUCUGAAUGUCGAUCUGAAAACCGAUGAUGGCUCUGAACGCCUAAACUGAGAAAUGAUGAUGAUGACUCUGAACGUCAAACUGAGAAGUGAUAACGACUCUGAACGCCGAAACCGAGGAUGCGACUCUGAAUGUCGAUCUGAAAACCGAUGAUGGCUCUGAACGCCGAAACUGAGAAGUGAUGAUGAUGACUCUGAACGUCAAACUGAGAAGUGAUAACGACUCUGAACGCCGAAACUGAGGACGCGACUCUGAAUGUCGAUCUGAAAACCGAUGAUGGCUCUGCACGCCGUAACUGAGAAGUGAUGAUGAUGACUCUGAACGUCAAACUGAGAAGCAAUGAUGAUGACUCUGAACGUCAAACUGAGAAAGUGAUAACGACUCUGAACGCCGAAACCGAGGAUGCGACUCUGAAUGUCGAUCUGAAAACCGAUGAUGGCUCUGCACGCCGUAACUAAGAAGUGAUGAUGAUGACUCUGAACGUCAAACUGAGAAGCAAUGAUGAUGACUCUGAACGUCAAACUGAGAAAGUGAUAACGACUCUGAACGCCGAAAUCGAGGAUGCGACUCUGAAUGUCGAUCUGAAAACCGAUGAUAGCUCUGAAUGCCGAAACUGAGAAGUGAUGAUGAUGACUCUGAACGUCAAACUGAGAAGUGGCUCUGAACGCCGAACUGAAAAAUGUGACAUGAUGACUCUGAAUGUCGUAAACCGUGAAUGAACGGCGACUCUGAACGCCAGACUGCAAGGAAACAAUGUGGGGGAAAUAUGCCCCAGUGUGACAUGCCGCUGCAAAUCUCAAACUGCUAGAAAUGGCUAAAAGGGACUCUACGAGUCUCGAAAGACGCACCACUAAGAGCUCAUGUCAAUGAAGAGCUCAGGAACAACGGUCAGUGAGGCGAAUACAAUAUAUCUCGGCCGAGUGAUGGAAACCGCGACGGACAUGUGAGAGAACGAUCGCCUCCAUGGCUAAAUGAGGGAAAUACGCCCCAGUAUGGCAUCAGAUGUACCCGAUCUGCCCUGAUGACCCGAGAAUAACACCAUGGGGAUGCAUAAAAGACCUGAUGUGUACCGCACUGAAAUGAUGACAUGGGGAUCCAAGCACUCGACAUAACCCCAUCCAGGAAUCACGACUAUAUCAAAGAGUAUGAAUCUGGCUGAACGAGUCAAGAGAGGCUCCUCGGAGUAUCAGGACAAAAUGAAAUCAAUCAUCAACCUGGCGUGUAUCUCAUAACUGUGGAUGAUCAUGUAAACCAGUGGGGAUCUAUAAAUCUCGAUCAAGAUGGGGAAUAUGCCCCAGUGUGGCAUCGGAAAUGUAACAUGUCGAAAAAUCAGCUGAGCUCAAAUCAUCUAUGCCUGCAACUAGCUAGAUGGCUCUCGAUAGGCUCCACUAAGGAAUCAUCGCGAGGAUAGCGAAUAUAUCAUCAUCCCUGUAUACAUCUCGCAAAUAAGGAUAAGCACGCAACUUCCUCAUGAUCUGUAAAUCUCAUCCGAACGGAAAUAUGCCCCUGUAUGGCAUCGAAAUGUAGGAUAGGUCGGAGAUCAGAUAGCAUGGAAUCAUCUAUCUUAGAACAUGUGACCUCUGCGAAAAUCCAUAAAGAUCCUCCGAAACGGAAUAUGCCCCAGUAUGGCAUCUGACGUGCGACAAACCAGGAAAAACAGGUGACAUCGAAUCAUCCCUCAUCAAACACGUGAUCCUGGUAAUCCAAACACGGUCGAAACGGAUCUAAACAUCUGAGAAGUGUUUCUCAGAAGAAGAUGCAUGGCAAAUAUCUGGAUGUCAACUGAAUCUCAAACACCUGUCCACAUAGAAGCCGUAGAAGACGAUAUCUGAUCCCAUGGCCUCAGGGUGGUCUUAAGACACAGGACGUAAUGUAGGCUAGGGUGAUAGGGUGAUAGAAACGAAGGGAAACUAAGCUCAAAUACCCAAUGAUCAAAACCCAUGCCCUCGUGUGUGAAAUGCAACAUGUACAGAAAAUCCUGUGAGCCCUGGACCUGAGGGUGUCUAAUGUGAAUAUGAUGUCAAUGAGGAAACAAGUGAAGCAAAUCAAACUGAUAAUGAGAUAUGUAAUGGUGAUACGAAGGGAAUAUCAAACCCGAGAUGGGUCUGGUAAGAAAAGAAUGAGAAGUGAAGUGAGAAUGACGAAUCAGAAGCGAAAACGAGGACGAUGAUAAUGAAGCGAAUAACAUCAAAAGGAGUGAUGAUCAACUCAGAUCAGACAUGGAGUGAUGUCACAUCAACUACGAACAUAAUGAUGGAACGUACAAUAACGCAGAGCUCCUAAGAGAAAGUCACUCAUCUCGCUCACAAAAUAUGCAACAAAAUGAAUACAAAGCCUGAGGGAUCCAGGGAAGCUCACAUACGAACUCCCGUCAACAAACAUACUCGAUCAAGUGACCCUCGAAUAUCAAUACAUACACUCAGUGAUGGAUAACAAAACACACUUGAUUUUUAUUUCUUUUUCCAUUUUUUUUUUUUCAUUUUUUUCAUUCAUUUUUUUUUUUUUUUACAACAUAUAAAUGAACUGUACAUGAUCUGAAUGCAUACAAAGAAGACCCAAAGACGGGAUCAAAAAUGAAUAAACAUGCCCUCAAAUAUCAAUAUAUCACAAACUCAAUCUAAUGAGAUGAGGUGACCUUCUCAAACUGAGGAUCCCUGGAUCAGUGUCCGUGGGAUAGAUAGUGGAAAUGGCGUGACUACCCUCCAUGUGAUGAAAUGAGGAGGAUCACCCCUCGGGGUGAAAGAAGAUGACAUGAAACGAAUAGUAGAUAAGAUAAAGAAAAUAUGAUGAAUAACACGAACAGUGAGAUGAGAUGAAAUGCAAUGAUGCAGUGGUGAGCACAGAUAAUGAGAAGAACGUGCCCCUAGGUCCAAGGCUCAUGAAACUCUCAAACAAUGCAUGCAUACACUAAAGGGCCCCAAUCCCGGUGUGAAAAUGUGAGCAAGGCUAUAGAAAAUGAAGGCUAUGAUGCGCGUGUGAGGCUCAAAUGGGCUAGCAAUGGACUAUAUAUAUCAGAAACGGGAUAAAGGGAUAUAGCUAACCGAAAUGAUGGCCACCCAUCCUGCGACCAUGGACUCAAACGUAGUACCUCUUUAGCUGAUCCACAUUGGUCGGCUCUGAGAACUGGUUUCCAUCUAAAUCCAUCAGCCAUGCAGCGCCCUCUGGAGUCAACUUCCUGAUGAAAUAAGGUCCGCUCCAACUAGGUCUGAACUUCCCUCUAGGAUCUCUGAUCAAUCCUCUGAUGACUCUCAAAACUAAGUCACCUACAUGCAGUGGUCUAGGCUUGACCUGCUUUUUGAAAGCGCGGGCCAUCUUCCUCUGAUAUGCACGAACGUGGUCUGCUGCUCUCAAUCUCCUCUCAUCUAGGAGAUUGAGCUGAUCAAAUCGAGCCUGAGCCCAAUCCGUCUGGGGAAUCUGCUGCUCUAGUGCUACUCUCAAUGAUCCCAUCUCAAUCUCAACAGGUAGCACUGCCUCCAUGCCGUACACCAAUGAAUAGGGUGUGGCUCCUGUAAAGGUGCGAAAAGAAGUCCGAUAUGCCCACAAUGCGAAAGGGAGCUUCUCUGACCAAUCCCGAGAAGUCUCAACCAUCUUUCGCAAUAUCCUCUUAAUAUUCUUAUUCGCGGCCUCUACUGCCCCAUUCGUCUGCGGCCUGUACGCAGACGAUCUAUGAUGCCGGAUGCCGUAUCUCUGCACCAAGGUGUCAACCUCUGCUCUGAAAUGCACCCCUCUGUCUGAAAUAAGCUCGUGAGGGACUCCAUAGCGACAAAUGAUGUGCGAUCUAAUGAAACUGACAACUCCAGAUGACGUCAAUCUCGCAUACGAGGCGACCUCCACCCACUUGGUGAAGUAAUCAAUAGCAACAAGGAUAAACUCAUGACCACUGGAAGAUUUCGGUGAAAUCUUCUCGAUGAUAUCGAUACCCCAUACUGAAAACGGCCAUGGUGAAGUCAAUGCAUGCAACUCCGAGGGCGGCACGUGAAUGAGAUCUCCAUGUAUCUGACACUCGGGACAUCUCUGAACGAACUGGCAACAAUCUGUCUCCAUGGUCAACCAAAAGUAUCCUGUCCUCAUGAUCUUACGGGCCAACAUAUGCCCCCCAUAUGUGGUUCGCAGACUCCCGCAUGAACCUCUCGCAUAACUCUAUCGGCAGAAGCGCGAUCCAAACAUAAUAGCAGUAUCCCAUCAAAUGAUCGUCUAUAUAGCGUCUCGCCACAAAUCACGAAUCGGGUGGCCAACUGUCUCAAUGCCCUCCUAUCCUUGGCCGUGGCGGCCUCAGGAUAUAUGCCGAGUCUCAAAAAGUGAUAUAUGUCAUGAUACCAGGGCAAACCAUCGUCUAUCUCCAUAUCAUCAAUCAAACAACAAUACGCAGGAGCAGAUCUCGACUCAAUCAACAAAGGGCGAACAGUGGCAUCAGCGGGAAUGUCGAUCAUGGAAGCUAGAGUAGCUAAAGCAUCAGCAAACUGGUUUUGCGCUCUAGGCAGAUGUGUAUAUCUCAAAUCCUCAAAUCUCGCGACCAGUAGCUCCAAAUACGCGUGGUAAGGCCUAAGCUUCACAUCUCUAGUCUUCCACUCGCCUUGAAUCUGUCUCAAUACCAGAUUGGAGUCACUAAACACCUCCAUCUGUCUAAUCCCAAGCUCGAGGGCUGUCUCUAACCCCAAGAUACAUGUCUCAUACUCAACAAUGUUGUUCGUGGCUGGAUGUCGAUCCGAGAAUGCCAAACGAACAGAUCUGGGAAUGUGAUCACCAUGAGGGGAUAUCAACAAAACGCCUAUCCCGUAUCCAGAAUGGUUGGCUGCACCAUCAAAGUACAUGCGCCAACCCGACAGACUAGUCGCAGCUGCGACGUCCUCGUCUGGAAAAUCAUCGUCAAUAGCUCUGGCAUCAGAAACUGGUAAUGAGGCUAAGUGAUCUGCGACAAUGCUCCCUCUGAUGGACUUCUGAGUGACAUAAUGAAUGUCAAACUCAGUCAGAAGUACCAGCCAUCUCAUAAGGCGACCAACUAGAGCGGGCCUGUCAAACAAAUAUCUCAAAGGAUCAAGACGAGAUAUCAAAUGCACUGAAUACUCGGUCAUGUAAUGUCUCAAUCGGCGAGUGGCCCAAACCAAUGCCAAGCAGUAGCGCUCAAUCGUGACGUAUCUCGUCUCGUAAUCUAGCAUCCUCUUGCUCAGAUAAUAAAUGGCUCGAUCUUUGCCCGAAUCAUCGAGCUGAGCUAACAUGCAACCUAAAGCCACAUCCGAAACUGAUAGGUAUAGGAGUAGAGGAUGGUCUGGUGUAGGCGGAGCCAAAACUGGAGGCGACAACAAGUACUCUCGGAUCCUCUCAAAUGCGCGCUGACACUGAUCAUCCCAAACAGUAGGUUGACUCUUCCUCAAGAGUCGGAAAAUGGGCUCACAAAUGUCUGUCAAUCUGGCUAUGAAUCUACUGAUGUACUGAAGUCUGCCCAGGAAGCCUCUGACCUCUCUCUCUGUCCUCGGUGCAGGCAUGUCAAGGAUGGCUCUAAUCUUGUCCGGAUCUACCUCUAUGCCUCGCUCACUGACCAUGUACCCCAAGAGUUUCCCAGAAGUCACUCCAAAAGUGCACUUCUUGGGAUUCAGCCUCAAUCUAAAUUGUCUGAUCCUCUCAAAGAACCUCUCAAGAGCUGCCAAGUGAUCUGAUCUAUCUCGGGAUUUCACUAUCAUGUCGUCUACAUAAACCUCGACAUCCCGAUGCAUCAUGUCAUGGAAGAGUGUGGUCGCUGCUCUCUGAUAGGUGGCUCCUGCGUUCUUCAAUCCGAAUGGCAUGACUCUAUAGCAAUAAGUACCCCACUCGGUAAUGAAGGACGUCUUCUCCAUGUCCUCUGGAGCCAUCAAGAUCUGACUAUACCCGGAAAAUCCGUCCAUAAAGGACAACAUCGAGUGACCUGCUGUACUGUCAACUAACAUGUCGAUGUGUGGGAGAGGAAAAUCAUCUUUAGGACUGGCCUUGUUGAGAUCUCGGAAAUCAACACAGACUCUCACCUUGCCGUCUUUUUUGGGAACAGGGACGACAUUGGCCAGCCACUCUGGGUACUCGACUACUGAUAGAAAUCCUACACUGAGCUGCUUCUGAAUCUCCUUUUUCACCUGCAAGCUCCAACGAGGGUGCAAUCGUCUCAACCUCUGCUUAACCGGUCUGGCAUGGGGCAGAAGUGGCAAACGAUGCUGGACGAUGGAUGGAUCAAGGCCCGGCAUGUCCUCAUAGGACCAUGCGAAAACGUCCAAGUAGGAUCUGAGCAGCUGGAUGAGACUAUCUCUCUCAUCUGAGGAUAAAUCUGACCCGAUCCUCAACUCCCUAGGCUGAUCUGCGGUGCCGAAAUCAACAAUCUAUGUGUCUCCUACAGCAGGUGAAACCCUCUGAUCAACGGGAUCCGAAUCGGAAACAGAAGAUGAGUCAUCAUCUGAGUCGUGCUGUGCAAUCUCAUCAUCAAUAUCAAAAAUCUGUGAUGUGGGUGAAGAUGGUGCAGAUAAAUCAAUAUCACAAGAGACAGGCAGGUACUAAAAAAUGCUCAAAUCCAUAGAUGAAACAUCGGAAACAAUGUCAGAACGGGAGACAAACCCCGACUGAACGUCAAAUGAAAGAGGUGGGUCCACAAAGUCGGACGCUUCCUCAACAAUGCCAACAUGGCUAUCAAUCAAAUCAUAAAAAACUAUAGCAUCCUUAGUAAUCUCCAGAGCAGGGGCUGUCUGGAUCUCCUCAACGAUCUCGAUGAAAGACACCCCGAAAAGAUCGAAUGGUGAAGUGAGCCCAGGAUGAACUCUCUCCUCGAUCGGGCCCAGGCUCAGGGCGAGCAUCUCGUCGAUGUACUCGUCGUGUGGGACGGCUCCGUCCACUAUGUCUCCGACCCCAGCAAAGGUCUCAUGCUCAUCGGUCUCGUCCGGGAAGCAAAGCGUUAUAAGGCUCGUGCGAUCUGGAGACGAAGGAGCAAUCAACACAGAAGUCGAAGAGCCAGGAGCUCCAUCUCUCAAUCGUAACUGAUGGACAAGGCGCUGAAGCUCGACCUCCUGAGUGGUGCUAAGUCCUCCAAUGAUCACGUCCGCACGGGUCAAUGGCUCUGAUGCCCUCACAAAAUAAUCAGAUAAGCUCCUGGUGUAUGGGCGAAGAGGAUAGUAGAAAGGUGUGUGGGUCAGUCACUCUCUCCUUGCGCAAACGCGCCAUGUAGAGAUAAUCGGCCUCAAUGGGGAUGAACCCGAGUCCGAACGGUACGUCGUGAUCAGGGAUGGCUAUGAACUCGCUCGGUCCAUGCUGACAUCGACCCAACCCCAUGCCGGGUAGAUAGGACAUGCUUCGCAUAAUAUCGAGCACCACUGUGCUCCCAUGCCGGUCAAAGGACAUGGCCACAAAAUCCCGGCAGAAAUCCUCUAUCUCCACAGUCUGCACCUCAUCGAAGGUGAAUUCAGUCAGAAAAAGAUCGUCAUCAGUGUGACUAAUCUCGAGCACAGGCUCGGCAACAAUGAACAUGUCUCCCACAGACUGUACCACGACGACCUGACCAUCGUGAAUAAACUUCACCUUCUGAUGAAGGGAAGAAGGAAUGGCCCCGGCUCUAUGGAUCCAUGGUCGGCCCAGAAGCAGGUUAAAGGAUGUAGGAAUCCUCAAAACCUGGAAUACAGCGACAAAAGUGGCCGGACCGAUCAGCAACUCGAUCUCCAAUGUACCCAUGACCUCUCUACGGGUGCUAUCAUAAGCUCGGACGGUCUGAGUGGAGGGACCGAAAUCAGAAGGAGCGUAUCCAAGGGCGAUGGCAGUGGCAAGAGGACAUACGUUCAGGGCCGAGCCAUUGUCCAAAAGGACAGAUGGGACUCGGCGGCCUGAACAGCCAACAGAUAUGUAGAGCGGACGAGUGUGGUCCGAGCCCUCCGGUGGCAAGUCAUCAUCGGAAAAGACGAUACAAGUGGCUCUGCCAGCCGUCAUCAUAUGAAGGAGUCCCUCGGGAGUGGUCGUGGUAUCAACUCUGAUCUGGCUCAGAGCUCGAGUCAGUGCGUCCCGAUGGGUACUGGAAGACGCUAAAAGGCUCCAGAUAGAAAUACGAGCCUGAGUGCUCUGCAACUGCCUCAAAAUCUCGUCAUCCUCUGCUCUCACCUCCUCCUGGGAUGACGUACCCCCUAAGGGUCUAGCGGGAGCGGCUGGAGGUGGCUGUCUCACUACUCUCCCUCCCCGGAGGAUAUACUAAACGUCCGGAGUCUGAGGAUCAUCACUAUGUGGAGCCUGAACCUCCUCAACAUCUGGGAUCAGAAUGUACGGCGCCUGAACGCUAUAGCGUGUGAAUGUCAGAGGCUCGGAAGUGGCCGCCUGUACAGAUGCUGCCUCAGGAACUAAUCGGAAUGGAGCAGGCAUCUGUGGCUCUAGAGUCACCCCACUCGUCUCGUAAAUCACAGCUGGCAUGAUAGGCUCUGGGUCUGGAUCAUCCCAACUCAACAUAUGGACAUGAUCAUCAGUCUCAUCGAAGUCCAAGAAAUGAAUACCACAAGCUGGUGGAGGAACUGCAUGUGUGGUGUGGGUCGGCAACGGGUUUGUGGUCACACUCGGCUGACCCAAGUGUACCAAACCCUGGUCUAUCAGAUCCUGAAUAGCGUGCCUCAGAGCGGUGCAUCGAUCGGUCUCAUGUCUAGGCCCCUGAUGAUAAGCACAGUGUAAAUCCAUCCUGAACUGAGCUGGAAUAGGCUGAGGUAGUGGCCGAGGGGUGAGAGCAGUCAAUAAACCAGCCUCCGUAAGCUUCCGAAGAGCCUGGCUCAACGGCAUGCCUAUCUGCGAGAACUGCCUCUGCGUCCUCAAAGUAAACGGAGCAGAAGUCUGCUGGGCUCCAGGUCGGGGAUAAGGCGCCGCAGGUCUCGCGGUGAACUGAGCAGCGUAGCAUGGCUGCCCUGUGGCUGUGUAGGAGACCGCGGGUCUCUCAAUGCCCUGAGUGGCAUAAGAAGGUAAAACCAAUGUCUGUGGCAUGUGUGUCUGAUCGUAAGCCGGACGAGGUGCCCGUGGCCUGUACUGAUGAGAUGCAUAGGAAGAAUGAGGCUCGAAAAACUGUGGGAUCGGCUGAUGGCGUCUAAGAGGCCUCUGACUGGAUGAACUGAUAGCACCAACCUCUGUCGGUCUCGGUCCUACGAAUAGUUUCUUCCCCUUAACAUCACUAGGGGAAGAAUCUGCCCAUAAACCUCUCGUGAUGCCGUCCUCGACAUCAUACAAAGCCAUAACCAGAGACCCAAAAUCUGUGAACGGGACCCCGACCACAUGUCUGGCGAUCCCCGGCUGUAGGCUCCUCAAAACCAUCUGAAUCUAGUCUCUCUCUGAUGGUCUAUCCACUAUCUCAGCUAUCUUCCCGCGCCAGCGGGAAAUGAAAGAAGAAACGGACUCCUCUGUCCUCUGCCUUAGAGCCUCGAGCUCUCUCCUCGAUACAUCUACAACAGUGUUAAACGAAAACUGUCGUAGGAACUCCUGGGCCAAGUCAUCCCAUGUACGGCGUCUCGAGGACUCCAGAGACGCAAACCAGCGCUGAGCUGCCCCACUCAGAGAUAGGGGGAAAAGAGUGAUCAUUUGAGGCUCGUCCAGUCCAUGAGCCCUCAUCACGGUGCUAUAAAGUCUGAGGUGGAGGCGCGGACAACCAAUACCAGUGUACCUCUCAAUAUCUGGCAUCCUGAACUUAGUUGGCAAGCUGGCUACCGGCAUACCCCCAAAAUCAUCCCAAACAACUGAUCCAUCUGACACUCUCAUCUGCCUCAUACACUGCUCGAUGCGGUCCAUGCGGGCAUGCGUGUCAUCAGCGACAACGGCCUGGGCGACUACGGGUGGAGUGAUCUCAGAAUGCCCGUGUAAUACAUAUGGUGAUGCCUGAUGCACUGAAGGAACGAGUGGGGGUGGUGGAGGUGGGUGUGAGUCAUAUGGCGUCUCAUCCUGGACUGCUGGUGGUCUACCCUACUGACCACCGAUCUCCUGCCUGAGGCUAGCCAAAGCCUCCUGGAUAGAAGCCAUGGCAGCCGUGAACUGAUCGACCGUGACAACCUGCUGAUCCAUAUCUGGUGUAUCUGAAACCCGAACUAAUCUGCCCUCUACUCUGAUCCACGAAACUAUACCCAGACUGAGAGUAAAAAUCCUGAUCCUGAAAGUACUCCUCUUCUGCUCUGAUCCACAAAGGUAUAUCAAGACAAGGAACAAAUGUCCUAUCCUACAAAGCACGAAGAACGUAAUAAGGAUAUGGCCCGGGGAACGUAUAGAAGAAAAGAUAAUCUGAACAGGAACAAGCAAAGCAUCCAAGUGAAGAUGAGCGAUCCGACCGUACUCAAACUCGUCCUGAUCUCAGUGCACUCUCAACUGGAGACUAAACAGAGGGAAAAUCGGAUCCAAAACUGCGGCUACAGAGGCACGGAAAGCCCUCAGAUGCACCCACGUGUAGGGAGGGAAUCCUAAUCGAAGGAUCUACGGCUCAACCUACAAGGUCAAGGUGGCUCUAAAUGGAUAAGGGUGGACUUUAAAAUAUCCCUAGCAGAAGCGAUUAUACCCUCCGACGGUACGCAACCCUCUGCACGUCUCCGAAGAGACGGGGCGCUUCCAUGCAAGGUGGUCAUCACCUCCACACAUGCACUACCUCGCAUCCCAGGGGGUUUCCUAUGGUGAAACCUCUCAAACUCUCAACACUCAAUAGUCGACUAGAGUGCACAGUGAAUGGUGUGGGUGCAUCCGAAACCCUAAAAAGCUAAAGCAGGAUAUGAAACACACUGGCCACACAAAUAUCCAUGAAACCUAGCUUCGGGCUAUACAGGUCUUCAAUGAUCGGACUCCAAUCGACAUCAAAGUGUCGCUCUCCUCCAAAAUGCUCCCGUGCAUCGAUAUAGCCCAUCGCUAGACCCUACUCCUAAUCUCCGGCUCGGUCAAAGAGCAAGCACACAGAAGGUCUCACACUUGCAAUAGUGAGAACCGAAAUGAAAGGAAUGACCGAAACCAAGAGAGUUGGAGGUAGGGGGAUAGAAGUGAGACCCACAUAGACAGGCAACAUGCAAUCAUACAGAGGGAGGGCAGUCAUGCAUCAUACGGUCAAGCAGAGUAUAGGAUAUAUCACUCAUGUCCACACAAAAAAAAAAGCUACAACUAUCAGGAUGAAUAGUGAUAUGAACAUCAUGCUCAAAAGAUGAUCUAGAUAAUAUGCAGGUCAGAGAAAACAACACAGCAAGUCAAACGAUGUACAAUAGUGAGUCUAUGCAUGUGAAGUGAGCAGAAUAAUCAGGAAGAAACAGAAUCGCUUUACCAAGCAAAACAAGGUGAGCAACCUAUGAUAAUCGGCAUGUCAAUGUACCAAACUAAUAUAGCAAUGAAGUACAAAAAAAACGACAUCCGAAGCCCCAAAUCAAGAUGAUCAAUCAUAUCAAUGUCACAACAUAAUAUCCAAGCAUACAUAAAAAAAACUCUCAAUGUGCAAUCAAGAGACAGGUACUCGCUGAUCGACUCAUCAAAUGCCCUGUUUGCUUCAUCUUAAGUUCAAGCUUGACCCUCUAACUCAUCCCCAGCGGAGUCGCCAUUUUGUGGACCCCGCAUUUCGGCUCAAUGCGUUCCCCACUCAAUGGUGCAUGCAGUCUGUUGAGGCUUUGCAAUGAUGGAACCUGAGUGCAUUGUUGGGCAGUCAUCCAUCCUUAUGAAAAGUUCUUAGGAGACUCACCCAAUCCUUGAAGUUGGAUCUGUUCCAUCCCCAGAAAGAAGAAUAUCAACAGUGAAUUAUGGGCACUACGUCCCUUUGACUUGGACGUUGGCCGCCAAUGUUUGAUAUGGAGUCGCGUUUGACUCAAAUGUACACUGACGCUACUUUUGGGCAUUGCCAUCAUGCUAUCCGUGACAUUUUAACUCCUGUCCUUCUUGCAUUAUACGAAUCAAGGAGGAAGAGUAAAUCAAAGUAAAACUCAUCAUAUGGGGCAACGUGAUUUUUAUCCUUCCAGGCUGGCAGAGACUCAACAUGAUACAGGGUUCUAAUCAAAGUUUGCUCUCGUCCAAAUACUCAAUCCUGUAAACAUCCAUGGGAUCAGUAAUGGAGAUAAGAGAAGGUCAGGAAUGCAAAUGAAAGAGAAUCAUCAUUGAAGUAUUGGGUUGAAUAAUGGGGUUAUCAUGGGAUCAAGAGGCUUAUGGCUUGGUGACAAUAGUUGACAUGGACAAAUGAGGAGAUAUGAAAGGCCAGAUUUGAGAGAUGAAGUCCACGUUUCUAUCAAGGAUUAUUUUAAUUGAUUCCAUCAAGGGCUCUCACAUGUGAGAUAGAGAUGGCAAUAGUAACAAGCACAACGAUGUCAAUGGCAUGAUUUCUGAGGCUAGUAUCAUAGGCGGCAUCCACCAGGCCAUUUUGAUCCAUAAGAAAGGUAGCAAAGUGCAUCGGGGCUUCCUCUUCGUUUUGGGUGGAAUGGUGAUCUUUGUGUUCCUCAACGACAUCCAUGGAGUGGAGUAGAUUGUUUAUUUGACAGUAGCAAUUGCAAAUGGGUCAUUAAUGGACUUGGUUUUGAUUACCAGGGCUUGAGAGGUUUCUUACCGAAUGAUAUAUCCCAAUCGCGCCAUCUACAUGCAACACGUCAGAAUGAUUCUUCUGUGGAUGGGAGCUAUUCAUGUCCUCUGGUGUUUGAGAAACUGCCAGACGUAAACCAGGAAGGGUCCCAGUGGACAGAUUGUGAAAUUCGAGAGACCAUCAACGUGAUUUAUCAUGUAUAAACUGGAUUCUUACCUAAGUAUCCUUGUUUCCGAACAUCGUAAACCGCGGAAAUUAACUUUGUACUGGAUUCCCUAUACAUGUGGGGCAGCGGGCUCAUCAGUUUGCUCAGUAUGGCUCCUAUGUCAUGGUAGUUUGAUGGGAAGUAAUGACAUAAAAAAUUGGGUUCGUGAAGCUAAGGACUCAACCAUUACCUUCUGGAAUAAUCAUGUAGAGCAAUCGAUUCCGUCCAUUAGAGAUGAAUUCUUUCAGGCAAUCAGGAGCAACACCUAUGAUGCCAUCAGCUGUUCUAACAAGCUCUGCAGCACCACUGAUCCUUAUAGUGCAGUCCCUCCACCCUGAGCUUAGAGGGAAGUGUUUUUGCAUGGCCACCUUGGGCAUGCAGCUCUUGACCAUGUGCCAUUUCCUUCUAUUCUCUCAUCCCCUGUUUUCUUGAAAAUAAUCUUCUUAAAUCCCAUUUUCAAUAAAAUUUGGUUGCCAUUUUCCUUCCGGCAAGCCACUUGUGCAUUUUCUUUGUUUUUAAAAUGUUUUAAAAAUAAGUAAGAAUUAAAUUCCGUAAUUCCAAGUGAUGGAAUUUAUGGAAUUGAUUCAUGCAAAAAUGAAUUGGGUCUUGGUGGGGGCCCUACAUAUGAGAUUCCAUGAUUGAUUGAUUUAUUUGUCAUGCAUGAUUGAUUUACUCUAUUCCUUGAUAUGCGCUUAAUUAUAUAUGUUCAUUGUUCACUAACCAUGUUUCAUGAUAGCGCAUUCGUGAUUGCCGCCCAGGUACGCAUCUAUUCAUAUUUUGCUCAUUCUUUAUACAUGCUUUGUCUCUCAUAUGUGCAUGAUUGAUUCGAGUAUUCAUUGAUUUUCUCAUUGAUUGUCAUGUCAGCUUCAUCUCAUUAGUAGAGACCCGACUUUAGGGACUUAGAGGGGUGCUACGGUCCAUACCGUACCUUCCCAAUAAGUAACCUGACCCCUGAACCCGAUCCGAUUUUUCACAGACCACCUUUUCCAAAAUAAGGAGUCACACUUAGGGUUUUUCUUUCUUAUUUUGUUUACCCUUUAAAAAUAAAACAAAAAUAAGUGGCGACUCCAAGUCAUUUUCAAAUAAUCAAUAAAAAUCAUUUUUCAAAUAAAAAUCGAGCUCGUCAUCGAGUGGGAAACGCAUUGAGCCGAAAUGCGGGGUCCACAAAGUGAUCUUGAAAAUUAUAAGUUAAUUAUGUUUACUUGAAUAAGAGAUUUGAAUAAUCUUGUAAAAAGAUGAUGUUUGUCGUUUAAGUGGAAGGUUGAUUUAGAAAUUAUCAUACAGGGAAAUGGAAAAAAAUACUAUUAUUUUGGUACAAGACCAUAUUAUUCAGUGGUGUCUCUAGAAAGUUCCAUUAGAUGCUAUUAAACAAUUAAUUUGGUGUCUCACUUGCAUAAUUUUGAGUUAUUGGAUUUUGGGUUUUGCAGACUCUAAUCUCCGGAGGUAACGACACAACUGUUGUCUCUCUGACAUGGGCACUCUCUCUUGUACUAAACAACCAUGACACCUUAAAAAAAGCUCAACAAGAAUUAGACAUCCAAGUUGGGAAGGAAAGAUUAGUGAAUGAACAAGAUAUAGGUAAGUUGGUCUAUCUCCAAGCCAUUGUUAAAGAGACAUUACGGUUAUAUCCAUCAGGACCACUUGGAGGACUACGCCAAUUUACCGAGGAUUGCACCUUAGGUGGAUACCAUGUCUCUAAAGGCACCCGUUUAAUAAUGAACCUUUCGAAGAUCCAAAAGGAUCCAAGAAUUUGGUCAAAUCCAACAGAAUUCCAACCAGAGAGGUUUCUCACCACCCAUAAAGAUGUUGAUCCUUGGGGAAAACAUUUUGAAUUUAUACCAUUUGGAGCUAGUCGAAGAGUAUGUCCAGGAAUAACUUUUGGUCUUCAAAUAUUACAUUUAACAUUAGCUAGUUUCUUACAUGCGUUUGAAUUUUCAACUCCAUCAAAUGAAUAGGUCGAUAUGCGCGAGAGCCUUGGACUUACAAACAUGAAAUCUACCCCACUUGAAGUUCUCAUUUCUCCACGCUUAUCUUCUUGUAGUCUUUACAAUUAAAACAUUGAAACGAAUAGGUCAAGUCGGUCUUGCUAGUCUUGGUUUAAAGACAUAUGGAGUUAGGUUCAAUCAAUCUAUGACAAGAUUUGGGAUUGUAUUAAAAGUAGGUUGGACUAAGAAUGAUGUAUAAUAAACUAAAGUACUAUUUAUGUCAAUAAAGUAUAGCUUUAUAUAUUAUUUGGUUAUCCUUGCUCUCCGUCUAGGCUCUCAUGGGUGCAAGGCCUACCCAUGAGGCCCUUUUCUCCAAAUUUGAGUCAAGUGGCUAAGGGGCUUACAACUAGCUUCUUUGCCAUAGACAAAUUUUCUUUUGUUUAUAUGUUUUAAUUGAUGCAUAUUCACUUUCUUCUUUUCUUAAUUAAAUUGCAAUAAUUAAACAUACAAUUUAAAUAAAUUUUAAAUUUUAUUUUUAACUAAAAACAAAAGUAUACAGAUACAAAUAUAUACUGCUUAAGUAAUUAAUUUUUAAAAAUUAUCCUUUGAGAACAUCUCAGACAAACUGAGACAUGCUUCCAGAGAAAUCUAAAUGUAAUGUUUUUAAAAGCUACUUUGUAAUUUUAUUUUCGAGCAUGUUGCAUAAUAUAUACUUUCCUUGAAUUGAUUUUCCAAACUAUAUUUUUAUUAGCAAUAAGGGUUAUCUACGUUUUGGAAAUUAUAAGUUAAUUAUGUUCACUUGAAUAAGAGAUUUGAACAAUCUUGUAAAAAGAUGAUAUAUAUAUAUAUAUAUAUAUAUAUAUAUAUAUAUAUAUAUAUAUAUAUAUAUAUAUAUAUAUAUAUAUAUAUAUAUAUAUAUCGUAUGGCUGAUUUGGAAAUUAUCCAAAAUGGAAAAAAAUACUAUUAUUUUGGUACAAGACCAUAUUGUUCAAUAGUGUCUCUAGAGAGUUCCAUUAGAUGCUAUCAAACAAAUAAUUUGGUGUCUCACUUGCAUAAUUUUGAAUUGUUCGAUUUUGGGUUUUGCAGGCUCUAAUUGUCGGAGGUAACAAUACAACUGUUGUCUCUUUAACAUGGGCACUCUCUCUUUUACUAAACGUACAACCACGACAUCUUAAAAAAGGCUCAAGAAGAAUUAGAUAUCCAAGUUAGCAGGGAAAGAUUAAUGAAUGAACAAGAUAUAAGUAAGUUGGUCUAUUUUCAAGCCAUUGUUAAAGAGACAUUACGGUUAUAUCCACCAAGACUACUUGGUGGACUAUGCCAAUUUACUAAGGAUUGCACCUUGGGUGGAUACCAUGUCUCUAAAGGCACCCGUUUAAUAAUGAACCUUUCAAAGAUCUAAAAGGAUCCAAGAAUUUGGUCAGAUCCAAUAGAAUUCCAACCAGAGAGGUUUCUCAUCACCCAUAAGAAUGUUGAUGAUUGGGGAAAACAUUUUGAAUUUAUUUCAUUUGGAGCUGGUCGAAGAGCAUGUUUAGGAAUUGCUUUUGGUCUUCAAAUAUUAUAUUUAACAUUAGCUAGUUUCUUACAUGCAUUUGACUUUUCAACUCCAUCAAAUGAACAUGUUGACAUGCAAGAGGCCUUAGACUUACAAAUAUGAAAUCUACCUCACUUGAAGUUCUCAUUUCUCCGGACUUAUUUUCUUGUAGUCUUUACAACUAAAACAUUGAAAUGAAGAGGUCAAAGUCGACCUAGCUAGUCUUGGUUUAAAGACAUAUAGAGUUAGAUUCAAUCAAUCUAUGAUAAGAUUUGGGACUGUAUUAAACAUAGGUUGGACUAAAAAUGAUGUACAAUAAACUAAUUAAAGUAUUGUCCAUGCCAAUAAAGUAUAACAUUAUAUAUUAUUUGGUUAGCCUUAAGGAAUGUAGCAUCAUAAUUAUUUCUUUGUUUUGUCUAAUUUAUCACCAUUUUUUCCCCUUCUCUUCUUCCCUUCUCUUCAUUAGAACAAAUAAUAUAUAGUCUUUUUAUUUUUAAAAAUCAAAUUCGAUUCCCAGUUAUAUAAGAAUUUUACUUUUACUUUAUAAUAAACUUUACUUUAAUCUUAAUAACUUUGACCAUGAUCUCCAUCAUUGAUUAAAUAUAGGGAUAAUUUCAAUCAUUUUUUCUAAGAUUGGAGUUAAAUUUACCCAUCCAUUAUUAAUUUGAAAUUUUAUUAAAUAUUUUUUUUUUCCUUUUUUUUUACAUGUAUAUCUUUUAAUUUAAAAUAAUAGUUGUCCGAUAUAUUUAUAUGAAAUUAUUUUCGAAGAGGUGAAUGAAACUAAACUUUUUUUUAAAUAUAAAAUCAUAAAAAUUUAAUAUACGCCAGCACGAUCCGGUCUAAAUAUUAUAUAUAAUUUGUGUCAUUUCAAAAAAUCAUAGAAGAUCCUUUUGGCAAGGUGGCCCCUUUGAGUAGGAAUUCUCUAAUUGGUCACUACAUAUUACAUAAUUUCAAAGAUUAUGGAGGAUCAUUUACCAAUCAUUAUCAGAAGAAGUGCUGAUUCCUGUAUAAAACUAACCAAUACGAUAUUUAGCACAUGCAAACAGAUUUGGAAGGAUCUGAAAGUCAAGCCUACGGGCCAUCCCUUUACGGCUUGUUCGAAAAAGCACAAAUUGAUGGGGUGCCACUUGCCAGCAGUCUGUUUCAAUAUCUAAAUGUUACCCAGUGGGAUUGCUUGAUAUACUUUUUGUCUCCUAGCUACCAUCUAUUAUUAUGGAGCUCCAGAGCUGGUAAGAUAAGAAUACACCCAAAAGCUGCUGGUGCAUGGCCAAUAAUCGGUCACCUCCUCUUAGGGUCACAACUUCCUGGGAUUUUUUUUUAUAAAAUUACGGUAAAUUUAAAAUUAAUUUUUUAAAAUGCGGCAUAUUGAAAAUAUGCUUGAAUAAUAAUAAUAAAAUGACAAAUAAUAAAAAGGAAAGAAAGUUGUCUUGUGGCUAUAAGAAAGAAUAAUAUAAAAGAGAGAGAUGAGGAGAGGCGGAUAGAGAGAAGAGUAGGCCGAAAAAAAAAAAAAAAAAGAGGAGAACGGGGAGGUGCUGCAAAUCUUUGGGCGUUCGAUCGUAUGACGAGCAAAACGACUUAUGUUUUGCAUGAAAGUUAAGGAGAAAAUUUUCUUUGAGGCGAGGAACAUUCCUUCAAAGUUCGAUUUUAGUUUCAAUGAUUGGAUUUUUUUAUUUGUGGUAAGAUAGUUUAAUCCUACAACUUUUGUUUAAUAUUUUGUUCUUGAAAAAAUAUUAUGAAUUUUUUUAGUGGAAGAUAAAUAUGUGUUAUUUGUGUUUUCUUUAUGUUAUUUGAAGUAUGAUUAUUCUUAAGGUUAUUAUUAUUAUUAUUGUUUUAUGAUUUACAUAUUAUUAUGAUUUUAUUUUUAAAAUUUUUAUGUUUGCAAUGAUUUAAUUGAAGAAAAACUGUUGUGUUGAUUGUUGAAAAUUAUUUAGUAUGUUGGGAAUAAAUAAAAUUUAUAUGAUUAGGGUUGAGACUAUGUUUUGAUGAUAUGUAAAUUAUUGUGAAUAUAUAUAUAUUUUAUAUUUGUAGUGAUUUAAUUGAAGAAAAAUUGUUGUGUUGUAAUUGGAAUUAUUGAUCAUGUUUGGAGUAAAUAAAAAUUAUGUCCUAGAAAAUUAUGCAUAAUAACAUGCAAGUUUAUUAUAUUUCAUAUGCAUCAUGGUUAUGUGAAAAAAAAAAUUGAUGAAAGAUUUUAUAAAAUGAAAAAGGAAAAAGAAAAUAAUGAUGAAAAGUAAAAACCUGUGAAAGAUAAAUCAAGAAGGAAAUGAGAUUUCUAGUGUAAAAAAUACAAAAAUUUAUCCCGUGAGUGUAUUUGAUAUAGAUGCAUAUCAUUAAGUGAAAACCCAAAAACAAUAGUUGAAUGUAAGCAUUUGCACCAUGUUUUCAUUUGGAAGAAGGACAUGUAUUAAAUACUUGAAUGACAUCAAUGGUAUGUUUAAAUAUAUUAUUAGAGAUUGAAAUAAUUUAUUUAUUUUGUAAGUUUAGAAUUAUUGGAUAAACCGCUAUUGACGAUUGGACCGAUGAAUGGGGCGGUUUUUCAUGAACUGCAUGGCUAAAUUCCAGCUCCAGUCUUCCUCCCAUUUUUCCUUUCAUCCAAAUAGUCCAACCUCCCCCUCCUCUUUUUCAUAGGGUCCAAGUGAAAGCCCAAUAAGCCCAGCCUUACAUUUUAAUGGCUUUUUGGCAAAACCUAAACCCAUUUAAACCCAUGGGUGGUACCUUUUUGGCAUGUACUAAUUUGAGUUAUAUGAAUUUUUGUAAUUUAAAUUAUAAUUUGUUAUUUUGUAAAAUAUUUUUUACUUAGAUUUAUGUAGAUAUUUGGGUUAAUUUGGGAUUAUAUAUUGAUCUAUUCAACUGAAAUCAUUGACCGUCAAAUUGGAUAGGAAUAACAUUUAAGGUCAACCCUUUGACCUGAUAUCACUAAUCGGAUUCUGAGUUGCCUUGAAUAGGGUGUGACUAUAAUGGAUUUUCUUCUCCAAUGCCUAAACCCUGUCAUGGUUGGAGCGUUUGCAAUACUCGUCCUCUCAUACCACCUGUUAUUAUGGAGGACUGGAGCUGGUAAGAGCAGAAUGGCACCUGAAGCUUCUGGUGCAUGGCCCAUAAUAGGUCACCUGCACCUGUUAGGUGGAUCUAAGAAUUUGCCUCACUUACUUUUUGGAACCAUGGCCGACAAGUAUGGACCAGUAUUCAGCAUCCGGCUGGGAUUAAAAAGAGCUGUGGUGGUGAAUAGUUGGGAGAUGGCCAAGGAAU